rnacentral:lncRNA from 1 species
UCGAUCAACUUUAGGUACACUUCACUCCCAAAUCCCACACAAACACUUUGUCCUUAGGCCAAACUACCAGGUAUAGACCCUUUUCCACCGUGAAACAUAAAAUGUUACAGGCGAGCUUCCAGUUCCAAUCAGUUACACAUAUUAUAUAUAAAACAUACAGUAAGAAAGAGUACCAAGGAGAAACAACUGGGAGGAACUAAACCAUCCUCUAAACGAUUAAUCUCCUAGCUAAAGGAUGACAGUAAAUAUGAAAAAUUGAGUACACUAAGUUACUUCAAAGAUGAAUAGCAAAUUAAUUCCAAGUUCUCAACAAACUCACAGGCAUAAGCACCAAACAGCAAGAAUACAUUUGAGCAUUAAAGUUGAGUUCUUGAAAAACUAAUGAUCUGAGAUCAUUUAAACUUAAUCCCAGGAAGUAACUUGAAGAAACCAUAUUAUUGUAGCUGCAGUCUCUCCUAUAGAAUGUCUGGUGCCUGAGUCUCCCGCUAAUUGGGGUUUGUAAUAUAGAGCGUCUUCAGAAACAAAGAAGCAUGCUGGUAAGCCAAGAAUCAUGUAAAAUCCUGAUAAUCCUUAAAACGAUCCCUCCAUAAUUGCUCUAACUAACCAAAAGAUAGCUCCAUUUAUCACCUAAAAGGCUAGAAAAUUCUACCCACCACAAAGAAAAGUUACAUCCACUCAAUUGCAACUAAUAAUUGGCCUCAUCAAUACUCCCAGCAUCCCAUAAUGCAUCAGCAGGUCCAACUUGCUCAACUCUGAUAUCUGAAUUAUCUAACAUUUACUUCUCCCAAAAUAAUAAUAAUCUAAAGAAGUAACUCUUUUAACAAAAGAAAUUAAGAUCUUAGCUACUGGUUUCACAAUUACACUGAAAAUUCUUUUGAUUAACUACCCUCCGAAUAUAAAAGCACAUAAGGUCAAGCAAGCAAACCUACCUGACAAGAAAAGCACUUCAUGAUAAGCCGCUUGACGUAAAGAGCCACAGCUUUCCUACGCUCCUCAGACGGUUGGUUGGGCUGUAUGCACGCAAUCAGCUCGGCAGUCCUCUCUUCGGCCAUCAUCCAUCUCUCCGCGUCGAGUACCCGGGUCACACUGGCCACUUGGUUGGGCAAGAGGCCAUUGGGCUUCACGCCGCUCGGCUGAGCCCAGCCUUCAUGCUUGCCCAUGCAAGGCGACUAUCGUCUGUAACUUCGCCGUGCCUCCUCUUCUUUCCUCCUCUCUACGCCACAACAACCUCACCCUCUUCACAACUUAGUUCCACUGUACAGUAAUGCGCGAAGAAGUACAGUAGAAACCCAACCAAAAAUCCUUACUAUCACAGAGACAACAGAAAGGCAAAGAACAAUUUCUUCUUCCACCCUUCAUUGCCAGGAGUAAGGCAUUCAAUAGCAGUAUUCGACAAACUCACUUCUUCUAGUGCUUUAUCCUGAAAUCAAGAGUGCCAGUGUCAAAAUUGUGGCAUUCUCUGCAGAACCAAGUCACCGUACUGACAAUCAAUCUGAUCAAAGCAAACACAAGCUUAAAUCCCCACUAAUUACCGAAAACUGAAGCAAAGCAAACAAAUAAUCCCUAAAAUAAGGGCAACCGAAGGUUACAAAAGAUCAAGAUCGUGCCUUUCUCACCAAAUCCACGGCUCCAAAAGCAAAACCCAGAGAUCCCGGGCCCAACAACGCAAAAAACUCAAAACCCUCAACACAGAGAGCUCCGCCACGAGAUCUCCCAACACCAAUCGAACUCAAAACGGAUUAACCCUGCCAGGGAACACCGCUCCCUCGAUCGCAAUGGAAAAAUCUAGGGCAAAAGAGGGACGGAGGCAAAACCCUACCCAAAUGCGGCGGCUCCGGCGCGGCUCCGCCCCGGCAAAUCCGAUUCCUAGGGCGGCGGCGCGCGCCGCGGCGGUGGCUCGAGGUACGACGAUCGGGGGUUCGUCGGGGUCGACGAGGGUUUGUAGGGGUAGGGUUCGGGGAGGAUCGAGGAGGAGGUGGGGGUAGGGUGGGGGACGAAGAGAAGAGAAAACGAAAAGAAAUGGGUGGAAAGGAGUAAGAGAGAGAGAGAGAGAGAGAGAGAGAGAGAGAGAGGAAAUGGGUCUGAGUACUUCUCUAGGGUGUGUAACGUUUCCCCGAACCCAUUCCCUUUCCUAUUUAUAAACCUCGUGUUGUUACUUGUUUGUAGUUUCCACUGCGAAAUGCGCAAUGUUACAUUUUGACCUAUCAUGGUUUGACCAUGAAAAUCUAGCUCGAGCUCGAAACGGGCUCGUUUUUUUUUCUUUUUUUUUCUUUUAAGAUCUCGUUAGUUAAACGCGUGGACUCGAUAAACUUGUAAACAUCGGUAUUUAUUUCGGUCCGAAAUCACAAGACAAUUUAAAUUUUCCACUCAUAUAUAAUUUUAUAAAAGUCAGCCUCCUAAUUUCGACUUUGCAAAACUCACAAGUUCUUCGCCUUAUGAGUUCCUACUUCAGAGUAGCCCCUAAUUGAUUACAACAAAAAAUUGUUUGUGUCGGGACCAAUUAUUUUAUUUUUAACUUUGAAAAGUAGUUUGAUAUUCAAGAAUGAAUGAGAUACCGGCGAAAAAGAAAAGAUUAUUCAAGAAAGAACAACUUAGUGAUUUGAAGACGUUAUUGAAGUUAUGAGAUGCUGGAUAACGGGAUCGAUGUUUUAAAAGCUGAGACGCAAGAGUGCACAAGUAGGACUGUAAUGUCCAAUGUGCCGAGUGGGCACGGCUCACACCAAUUCCGGCUAGGGCACGUCUGAGGACAGUUGUGUCAGAUCAAUAUUCGGGCCGUGCUGUGUCGGGACGGCUUUUUCCCAUCCAAGGCCCAGCACGGCCGAAAACGGUGCCCAAAAGGGUCGGGUCGUACCAAGCCACAUCGGGCCGGGCCACUGGGUUUCUUCCAUUGCAACUUACAUAUGUUAGCUUAUUUCCGUAAUGUUUUGCGUCCAAAUUUGAUAGUUGUGCCAAAAUUUUGAACUCAUUCGAAACAAUAGUAAAUUGUAUGAUGAAAAAAAAAUCGAUCGAAACGUACGGGAUGGUUGAGUGAAGGAUCAAAGUGUGAGAAUGGCUUUUCAUAAUUUAGCCUUUUCUUUUAUCCUUUGGUUUAGAGAGGAUUUGCUUCUUGAUCGAGGACAUUAUUGAAAAGGUUAUGAGGUUGAUUACAUGUGAGGCUUUGUCACUUAGAAAAUGGUUAUGCAUUAACUAGGUUACGAUUCGGAGCAUCUACGAUCAAGCUUUGUCAAAUUGAUUCAACCAACUUUGUCAUCGAACACGACUUUACAUCUCAAACCGCCACGCUUAUUUCAGUUUAAUCAUCCAUAAUAUUCGAUACGGUGUUGAUUAAGAUGAUCAAACAUUGUCAUGAUAGAGAAAAAGUCAUUUAAAUAUUGUUGUUUUAGUAAUUUAGAAAGAAUAGGGUGUAAUCAUGAGUUCUAACAAUAUUAAUUUAUUCUCAGGAAUUAACCUUGCCAGAGAAUUUUUUACUGUUUACAGAGCUAAAAACUUCUUAAUCCUUGAUAGGUAAUAUUUAAUUAGCAUAUUUUUGCUGUCACAUAGCAUAAACAGAAUACUACACGAUUCUUUAAAAAAGCUCUAAAUUAGUAAAUUCCCCACCACUGUCCUUUUACUUAUGGAGUAAAGCAUUUGUAUACCAAAAUAAUAAUAAUAAUAAAGUUGAGUACAUUUUUACUUUAUAUUUAAGAAACUUUUUCAACUGAUUCCCUCUUAUUUGGUUAAUUUGUGGUAACUUAAUUUGAAUGCAAUGGAUAUUCGAAUACUCUAAUAUUGAUUUUUGAAAUUGAGUGUUCAGACUCAAUUUUCUUUUUCUCUUUAACACUCCAUUUGUAUGAAGAGAAAAGGAGAGAAAAGAAAAUGAAGAAAAGAAAAUACAGUUAUAAGAGAAAAUAAAUUUCUCUCAUUUGAAUCAAAUUAAAUUUGAGAGAAAAUAAAAGGAAUGAAAAGAACGGAGAGGAAAAAAAAAAAAAAAAAUCUUUCAUAACGUUCAAUAUUUGUCUCUGCAAAAGUGAAGAGAGUUAUUUUCUAUUUUUUCCUUUCUUUGAUCCCAUUGUAGAGAAGAAAUAUUUUUUUCCUUCUUUUUUGUCGCAUCCAAAUGAAGCAUCAGCAUACUACAAUUUUGCUCUAACUUUAUUCAUGCUUGCUAAAUUCCACAAUAAAACUUAUCUAAUAUUUCAUUAGAUAGAUCUUCUUCUUUUUUUUUUUACCUCUUGGAGGCCUGUGUUGCCUCACCUCUGCAGGUUAGUUUACUAUUUCAAUGAAUGAAGCGGAUAGUGUGAUACCUAAUCCUCAAAAAAAAAACAAAAGAAAAAAAAAAAAAACUUAUCUAAUAUGUUCAAACAUCGCAAUCGAUACAAAAAUCAAGUUCCUAGCAAAUGUGCCCACAAGCUUACCAUGUGUAGAGAAAUCAUUAUGGGAUUUCAUUUAUGUUUUGGUUAGUGCAUUGAAUUGAUAUGUAAGAAAAUGUAAUUAACUGUGAUCGAUGGUUCCUUCCAUCUAAUGCGUCAAAUUAAGAUAGAAAGAAAUGAAACAUUAUGGAUAAAAAACCUGCUAUAACAAGAUGAUGAGAGUAGAUAUGUUACAAGGAUUAAUUUAUUCUAUUCAACCACAAAUAGGAUAAAUAGUUUUCUCUUUAUAGCAUGAUGUAUAGGGAUGGAAUUAAGUAGAAAUGAUGCAUCUGAGAAGAUUCAUUUUCAUCAAAUUAAUGCAUUUACAUGGUGGAAAGUAAUCAAUUCACUUGUAUUUAUAUAUAUAUAUAUAUGUGUGUGUGUGUGUGUGUGUGUGUGUGUGCGCGUGUGUGCAUCAAAUACGACAUUUGUAUUAGAAUGAAGAGAGAUAAGAUUAAUUGUUGAAAGGGAAUAGUUUUCUCAAAUCUUGUGUGCAUAUUUAUUUUUUAUUAGCUCUGCGUACGUACUCUAAACAAAUUGAGUAAAAUAUUUCGUGCAAAAGCUACAGGUGAAACCUCUUUUCAAUCUUAUUACUAUUCUAUGUAAAACCAUGCAAUUUGUCACUUUUUUCAAUACAAAACGUACGUGCAUACAUAUAAACAUGCAUGCGUAUUAUAUUUUUGCUAGUUUAAAAUUAAGUUGUAUAAAUUUAUAUGCAUGCUCUCGCACGUGUAUAAUUGUUCAUCAUCAAUUCUAAUAUAUAUAUUUUUUUUUCUUUAGGAAUUACUGGAGCUUAUAAAGUACAAAUUCAAGAAAAUGAGGAGGGAUCAGAUGAUGAAUUACUUUGUUCUCCUUUUCAUUGUCCUUGUCAAUCGUGUACCCCUUAUUGGUAAGAUGUUGAAUCUGUAUAUACGGAUCAUUUUACAUCAAAUAGAAAAUUAAUUAAUUAAUUUGCUUUACCAGCAGUGUUCUAUUCAAAUAUUUGAAGAUUAUUUUAACCUUCAACCAGCACAAAAACAUUAUAUUUCAUUUUUUGUACUAAGUACAAAUUGCUCUAAACACUGGGGCUGUUUGGUUUUUAGAAAAAAUAUGAAACCAGAAUUUUCUAAAAAAAGUCUUUUAUGAUUUCUUUUUUCCAGUCUUUCAUCCAUUAAAAAUAGUUUUUUUUAUAAAAAAACUCAGAUUUUAUGAAAAACUAGUAUUUUUAUUUGUUGAAAAAAAAGUUUAGACUUUAGAGAACAAAAUAUUUUUUUAUAGAAUUUAGAAAUAAAUCUUCAAAAAAGCUAUUUUUAAAAAAACCAAACGGACAAAAAGGAAAAGAAAAGAAGUUUUCAAUAAAAAGCUUUUUUUUUCCAAAAUUCUUUUUUUGUAUUUUUUCUAGGGAUGCAAACAGAUCCGGGUUGGAGAAGCUCCCGCCCCGAUCCGCCUCGACGGAGCAGUAAAUGAGAGAAAAUACACGGAAUCGGAGUAAAAAAGGGAUAAAUUUUACGAUCCGAGACGGAUUUGGGACAGAAAACAGGAGAAAUUCGCCCCGCCAUGAUCCGCCCCGAAUCCGCCCAAAAAAUAUUUAUAUUUUUUAAAAAUAUUUCUAAAAAAUAAUAUAUUUAUAAAAAAGAUUACAAUAUAAAUAAGUUAGUAAAUAUAUUUGAAAUUUUUGAAUUUUGUUUUGAAUUAUGAUUGAUAUUUUUGAUUUUUAUAAUUGAUAUUGUUAAAUUAUAUAUAUAAUAUUAUUAACAAUUAUUAAUUUAUUAUUUUAUAAAAUAAUAAUAAUAUUAUAAUUUUAUAAAAAAUAUUAGUUGGCGUCCCGGAUUCGGGACGCCGACAAGAGGCAGGUUACGAGGCGAGGCGGAUUAUGAGAUGCAUUUUUUAACCCGUCACGAAUUCGGAAGACAGGACGGAAUUUUGCUAGUCGGAGCGGGAGCGAGGCGGGAUUCCCGCCUUCAGAUCCGUCCUGUUUGCAUUCCUAAUUUUUCCUAGGAACCAAACAAAUUUUGAUACAACUAUUUUAAUACCGAUUCCGACGUCGAACCAAAUAAGUCCUAACUCUAAAUAAAAAUUAAUAUGAUGAUUAUUGAAUAAAGUGGAUGUCAAAUAUACAUAAUAUUUUGGUAUGUAUAAGUAGUAUUCGUUAUUUUUAUAAUACCGACGGCGUCGCAGCUCCUCUUCCUUCCAACGUGGGUGUGUGUUAUGGAACUCUGGGCGACAACCUGCCGCCCCCAAGCAAAGUCAUAUCCCUCAUGCAGAAAUGCAACAUCCUCAAGCUCCGGCUCUACGACCCCAACCCCGACGUGCUGGCGGCGCUGCAGGGCUCCAACCUCCUCGUCUCCUACGGCGUCAAGAACCAAGACUUGGCCGCCAUCGCCGGCGGCGUCGACCGAGCCCGGUCCUGGGUCGACCAGUUCUACGUCCCCUACCAGAACCUCAACGUCGCGGAGAUCAUCGUCGGCAACGAAGUCGUCCCCGGCGACCUCGCCCGCUAUGUCGUGCCCGCCAUGCGCAACCUUCAUGCUGCGUUCAGGAGCUCCAACUUCAGUAUUACAAUCACCACCGCCAUUUCAUCAGCGACACUGACCAACACCUACCCGCCGUCACACUCCGCUUUCACCAACGGAGCUAUUAACGUGAUGGCGGAGUUAGUCGGCUUCCUGAAGUCCUCGGGGAUGCCGCGCAGCAUGCUGUACGUGCACCUGUACCCGUACUUCGCGUACGCGGCCGACCCCGCGAACGUGCGGCGGGACUACGCGUUGUUCAAGGCGCGGGAGCCGGUGGUGGUGGACGGGAACCUGACGUACUACAACCUGUUCGACGCGAUGUACGACGGGUUCGCGUGGGCGAUGGAGAAGAUCGGCGGAGAGGGGGUCCAGCUGGUGGUGGGGGAGACCGGAUGGCCGUCGGCGGGGAAUGGGGAGUUCACGACGCCGGCGCUGGCGCAGACGUACGUGACGAACAUGUACCGCCACGUGGUGAACGACGACCGGACGCCGAAGAACCCGAACAAGGGGCUCGGCGGCGUGCUCGCCUUCGCGUUGUUCGACGAGGACCGGAAGCCGGCCGGAGUCGAGCAGAACUUCGGGCUGUACUAUCCGUCCAUGCAGCCGGUCUAUUCCUCUCCUUUCAGCUGCUGAUCAUUCCUUUUUUAUGGUAUGAAAUGAGCAUGCCCACUACCUGUGCACUCAAAAAGAUGAAACAUAAAUCUUACAUCGAUUGAUAAUAAAAAAAAUUUAAUUUUUUGGAUAUACAGAGAGGAAAGAUUUAUGAACAUUUUUGGAAGUAGUAUUUGCCAGAUUAUAUAUUAUGGGUGUGUAGAUCUGUUAUGUAAUGUAUGCAAGUGGAAUGUAUCCAGAAAUAAAUGGACAAAAGUUAAUUUAGUGGACACCUGAGCUGACCCAGCUCUGUUUGGGGACUGCGCGUAAGUUUUUGUCUCGGAAAAAGAAUCAGUUCUUUUAUGUCCAGUAGUUAGUAGUAUGUUUAUGAUGGGAAAUAACUAAUAAAAGAGAAGGUGCUCGAGGUAAAUAAGUUUUUUUUUUUUUUUUUUUUGGGUAAACUUCAAAUACCAUCCGUGUAGUUUCAUACUUUCUCAUUUUAAAGUAUAUCAAUUUAGUGCCCUGUAAUUUUUUUUUUCUUUUUGUCAGUCCAUACGUUAGUUUUUCGUUAAAUCAUACACAAAAUACUUCGAAAAUCCCACUUAUAGUUUAUCGAAUAUUCACUUUAGUAUUUUUUAGUUUUAAAUUUGCUACUGAUUUAACGAAAAAAACACUAGUAGAGGGAUAACAAAAAGAGAAAAAUAAAACCAUAGAAUACGAAAAUAAUAUAUUUUAAACCACGGAAUACUAAAAUGAGAAGGUAGAGGACUGGUAUUUGAAGUUUUCUUUAGUAAGCCUGUGCAGGCCCCCUCCUAAGAAGCUCUUCCUCACCGAGGGAGACUCCAUAUUUUUUUUUUUUUAUAAGCCUGAAGUCCAAUGCAUGAUCCAUAUUCAACAGUUCAACAGGCAUGACUCAACAUACAAGAUUAUUAAGUAGAUUCUCUCUUAAAUUAUUUAUCUAAUUAUCUAAGUUCACAACGCAUAGACCAAGAUAAAAUUUAGCACCGAAUGUCAGAACUCGCAAUUCCAUUUGUUCAUUAAUCAUUCACAGCAACACAACAAACUGAAAGCAAUCUUCGAAACCCCUUAAUAUAUACACUACUUGUUUGUUUCCAGAGGGUUCAUUUCAUACACUUUUAAAAGUCUACAAUAAUGUUAAAUAAACAUUAUUUCUAACCCUGCAUACGACAAGCGGUCUUUGAUUCCUCGAAUAAAGAGAUACUCAACCAUACAGCUACUUCUCGUUGGGUACGAAGAAAUCGAAUGUGACAUCAACGGUACCUGAUGUUUCCCCAGUGUCCUUAUAUUCGAUCCCUGUUAUUUUCCCUAUAUAAUUCUCUUCGGAUUCUUGAUAUUCGGGUUUCACUCGCCGCACAGGAACUGUAACAGAAUACACUGUACCGAGGUCAGCAUCUGUCGAGACACUCAGUUGAACCUUAUCCUGUGAGUCUAUUUCGACGAAUUCAGAAAGGGCUUGAACAAUAUUCUUCACGAUCUUUUUCUUUGCUUCAUCACUGACCGCACACCUGUCGGAGAACAGGAUCAUCUUAAGCCUCUGCUUUGCGAUUUGCGCAUUGGAAUUUCUUUUAACUGCUGGUGUGGGGAAUAAUAUUUUCCAGGCCAAGCUUAGGCGAUCAAAGAAGUUCAUGUUGACUACAUUGUGAAGGAAUCCUUCAGCUUCUUGGUUUACAGUAGAGGGAGAAAGGGCAUUUCUCGAAACUCCAAUUUUCAAAUUAUAACCGCGCGCAUGACCAUGUUGCUCAAGGGAAAGCCAUUUUGGAGCAUACUUCUGAUUACUGGAACCUCCAUUAUGAAAACCACCAAAUUGUUUCUGCGUUGUGGCAAAUAUAAGCAUAAAUAAGCAAAAGAGGAAAAAAGAAAGAUAAGAAUGAACAUCUAAAAUUAGAUGAAUAUAAGAACAAGAUUUCAAAAAAGCUCUGUACGAAUAUUAAUUCAACAUAAAAUUCAUGGCAGCACUAAAAUAGUAGGACAGAGAAUUAUCAAGAAAGGAAUUGCCCAUAGAUACAGAAAACUUCACACCUUUUCAAACAAAUAAGUAAAUAAGGGCUUUGGGCAAAGCUUUUGGAACCAAUCUGAAUAACCUGAUAUAAUAAACAACGUUUCUUUCUCUUGGAGAAAAAUAUACUGUAUAACUUGUUAGUGACAAACAGCUGCAUAAAGCCACACCAGCCCUAUGCCGGCGACCAGUCAGAUGCUUAUUACGAGACCCUCUGUUUAUUUAUUUCUACUCUCUUCUUUCUCAUUCUCUAUCACUGUGUCUUGUUCAAAUCCCUUGUCGCCCUAUACAUCAAUCAAAGGGGAAAGAUUGAGAUUCGGGUUCCAUGACUAGUAUAAAGCUUCAUAAGGAAACUUCAGCACUUCUCUUUGUAACUUCAGGUUUUAUCAAUGGUAGAUUUGCAUAGCUACUCUUCUUCCAGAAGUGCUACUUAAGAUCAAUAUGAAAUGAAAUCAGAUCCCACCAAGCACAUAUGAUGAAGAAAUAAAUUUGAAAUCAACUGACACUAGGGGUAUUCUACUUAUUAGGAUCUCAAGUUGUGUCAGAAUAGUACAUUUUUGUAUUACUAAAUAAGAUUACUGCUCAUGCCACAAAAAAUAUGUAGCUGGUUCUUUAUCUUGAGCAUACACCUUUUUUCCUUCAUAAAGACUCUGAUUAGGUUCAUCUAGUAACUACUAGAUCAUAAAAUGUUUCACAGAGACAUAUUAAGCUGCUGUAAAUGUUGGAAACCUAAGAAGUGAUUACUUAAUAGACUAACAGACUGAUCAAUGGCUUGAACUAUGAAGUAGGUAGUUCUGAUUGCUUAUACUUAUAGAUGCAUGUACGAUUCCAUAUUCUGAUGUACGGAAAAUGUGUGUUCUUAUGUUGGUAUCAACACAAUCAUGUGUAGUUCCAGAACAGAAAAGCAAAUUUAAGCUAUAUGCUCUGAAUUAUAACAUAAGGAUGAACCACAAGUUUCUCAAAAUUAGUUUAGUCAUGACAAAUUUAUCACAUAGUUCAAAUUAAGUGAAGAAAAUCCAUUUGCUACAGUUAAAUAGGAAUUGUUGUUUCUAAGAGGUGGGGAUGAUGAUAACACCUCAAUAGAAGAAUAUCUAUCACAAAAGAUAUUACUGGUUGGGCUGAAAUGAAAUUGAGAUAGCAUGGUAUAUUUCGCUUCAAAAAUUUUUUUAGCAUUUGAAUCUCUGGCUUUACAAGGUAUGAUAAAAGGACAGUACUGUGAUCAAGUAGACUGCAAUUUCUUCUUGAUGUUGCGAUAGGGGUCGAUAUGAAUUAGCUAAACAAACUUCUGCACAGAAAAGCUGGUUUUAGCAGAAACAUAAUAAGAUGUAGUAGGAUAUUGCCUAUUAUGCGUCAACAAGAUCUAACUAAUUCUCGGAGACCAAAAAGGAGUUGAAUAGCAAAUGAGAUUGAUGCCAACAAUAGCAGCGUCUAAAGUUUCACAAAGAAGCAUUUGAUGACAAAUAAAAGAGAAGGAAUCUAAUACUUGUCAGCAGUAAGAUAAUACAACUCCCACCAAAUUGUCUCCAAAAUAUGUGCAACAUUACUUAAAAAGGGUCCCGAAGUCAUAAUUGAGGACAAAAUGAAUGCCCGAAUAGUUAAAGGAGCAAUAGUUAGAUCUAGAAGCUUACACAGAUCUCGAGCUUAAUCAGCAUAAAAGAGGACUACUAUAAGAUUUCCCAGCUGAAAGUGUAAUACAUAUAGUGAUAAUUGGUACACUGACUUUUGAUUCUAAAGGCUAGCGAUACAAGAACUAAUACUACAUCUUCUUAGAUUUAUAGAGAUACGCAUGAGUAAUGUACAUUUAUCAUGUUCAAACAUCGAUACUAAAACAGUCAGUUACUUAAGAAUCACAUGUCCAGGUGGAAAGAAAGUAAGCUUCAGAAUAAAUGCAAGAUAGUUACUAUUAAUAAUGCAAAACUCAGUGGUCCUUUCUCUAGACGAAAAAGGAUUCAGUCCAUUUGCGUACAAUUAACUUAACAAUCAGUAAAAUUUCUUGAAAGAGGCAACAAGGUUCACAUUGUCGGGGUUUUUCAAGAGUAUUAAGAAUACACGGACAAAGAUUCAUGGUGGGAACAAUAACUAACAUGUACACGCCUGUAACCAAACAAAGAGAAUUAUGAGUAGCUGCUCGAGAGAACAACUCAAAAUAGCCUAAUCCAGUCGCAAAUGCCUCUUCAUCCCUCUGUUACCCUCGACUCUCUGCAUUCGUCGAAGGGGUGUUUGGAUUUAAAAAGUUGCGAUUCGGCUAUAAAUCAAGUUUAUUAAGAGUAGAAACAUAAAUAGUUAGUUUCGCCAUCCAUCAUGAAGACGCAAAGAAGAUUUGGUGGUUAGACUUGGGCUUAGUUUUUCGAAAACAAAUUUCCUUUUGAAAUGGUAAGAAGUCAUCUUUCGUUAAAAAAAACAAAAAACAAAAUACAAAAAACAAAACCUAACCUAUGAAUAGACUACGAAUCUCUCCGGCGUUAUGUUAGUUAAUGGCAAAAUCAAUAUUUUUUUACUCUCACCAAACUUGAUUUUAAACCGAACGACAAUUACUGUCAAUCCAAACACCCCCCGAGUCUCCAAAAAUGCUUCCGCAAUUUUUUCUCUUUUACUCCCUAAAUAAAGCUUUUAUUACAAACAAGUAAAGAAAUAUACUGACGAUGAAACCAGACAUGAUCGAACAAAUCGAAAAGAAGAAAAUUUAAGCGAUUAAUGUAGCUUUUUAGGUACAUUCCCACUCAAAUUUCUCCCUUCGCGAUAGAAAAAUGCGUAUUAAUUACAAAUUCUACCAUGAAUGACCAUGAAAAUUUCGCAGGAUACUCCUUUUUGAGAGGAUUGCUCCAGAUGCCCUAAUUAGCACGUCAACGAAGAUGAAGAAGAAGAAAAAGGAUAGAAAUGGGGUGUCACCAUGGACGGAGGAAGCGCCUUGAGCGAGUAAUGAGAGGCUAAUGCUCCGAGAGGCUUCAGAUCGCCGUGAAUCACCGCCAUUUUCCUAGGGUUCCGUCGAUCCUUCGUGGUCGGAACUCGGAAGCGACGAAGCGAUCUCUUUUUUUCCUUCUUUUUUUUUUUUUUCCUGUAAUAUUUUUCCUUUUGUCUUUGGCGAGAUGUGUCAGUGUAGAGAGAGAGAUCCUAGCAACCCUAGUCGUACCUUGGUUCGGGUGGAACUGGGCCCAGGCCUAAACCAGGCCCGGGCCGAUAGGCUAUGAUUGGGCCGGGUUUCUGAUUUAUUAUUUUGGGCCUAAACCCGGUUUAAAAACUUAAACACCAAAAUGUUUCGGGCUUAUCAAAGAUAUCAUUACCAACUAACCAGAUAUUUAGUUACAUGUAUUUCCCUAUAUAAGAAAUUAAGGAUAUCUUAUGUUAUAUAAAUAGUAUUAUUCUAAAGUCCUAAUUAUUUAGAAGUAAACUGAUUUUUGAUGUAAGCAAACUCCAUUUUCGAACUUGUAAAAAUAGAUUUUAUUUCAAUUUGAUAGAUGUAAAUAAAUAUGUGCUAUUUUAUAAAUACAUGGAGCGCUUCUAAAUGAAGCCCGAGCCUUGGGCUUGGGAUUGGACUAAGCCUUAAUUUUUCUUAAAUAGUGGAUAAAAACCCGACUCAAAGCCCAAAAUUUUAUUCGGGCCGGGCUUAGACAUAGUGUGGCCCGAUCCAAAACAGGCCCAGUUCUAGCCGACCGGAGCUAUUAAAGGAGAUCCACUAUGGCCAUGACACCCCUCAGCUUUUUAAAAAUUAUACACGAGUCCCUGAUUAAAGUAUAGCAAAAAUUAAAAUAUUCUAGAGACCAACGCGAAAUCUUUUCAUAGGAAGCUUGUUAUAAUUUGCUUUAUAAAAUCUUGUUAUAAUUUUCCCCUAAAAUGCUUGAACAUCGAACAUUUACUAUAAUUUAUCGUAUAAAAUUUUGAAAAAUAAAUCCUGGCUUCAGCACUGACGACCAUAUUUCUUCCGUUUUGUAGCUUGUAAUUGUCUAUAAUUUUUCUCUUACACCAGGCAAUUUUAUUCUUUGUCAACUGAUACAAUCAUACAAGUAGAACUACACACCACUUGUAAUUGUCUUAUCAGUUGCAUCAUUGUUUCUUCUCUUUAUCUGAUGGGUUUAGAAAAGAGAUAUGCAUCCUCAAUUGAUUAGCUUCGUUUCUAUGAUAGUAAAUUUAACCACAACUUGAUGCAAGGAAUAGAUCAUAACGUUUUUAAUAACGAAAAACAGAUUUGGUAAAAGAAAAUCGGUUAGAAGUUAUUAACCACUAUUCCAUUCCCGUUUGAACCGGCAUUGCCGCGAAAUAAAACCUUAAUUUUAUGCUAGAAUUCAGAAUAGAAACUUCAACAUUUGUGAGCUACUUUUCAUCCAUUUAUAAACCGCACGGGAAAUUACCCUGUACUUGGUAAUUAAAAAAACAGAGCAUUAAACUUAAAAGCCAAUCCUGAACCACCAGUAGAGGCACAAACAAUUAGUUUUAGAACACAGAUAAAUGAUAAAAAGAAUCAGAUACUUAUAUACAAAAGUGCAUAGAAUUCAUAUAACAUUGCACAUGAUUCAUAGCCCGCAAACUUUGAAUCAAAUUCUGACAUAGAUCAGUUGAACAGACACUGACGAACAAAAAUCUACGCUGCAAGCCAUCGUAAUGUCAUGUUAAAUUAGAAAGAGUUAUCGGCAUUGAUGGUAGACAACAAAAGAGAAAUAAUAAUAAUAAUAAUAAUAAUAAUAAUAAUAAUAAUAAUAACAGAACACUAUAAUAAAGAUGUCUCCAUGUACAAACAUGCGAAUGAAACAAGACAAUGAGGACUGAGAAUAGUAACAAUAAAGGUAAGAGUACCAAAUUAAGAAUCUUCUUUUGAUGAGAUCCAAUGCUUCCAUGUACAACUAUGCCGAUGAAACAAUACAAUAAGGACUUGCAACAUUAAUGUAACGGAGAAGAAUAAAGAGUAGCACCUUAAAAAUCUUCCGCUGUGAUCGAAUCACGAGGGAUCUCGUAAGCAUCUUUCGGCCGCAGCUUUUUCACCCCAGCCGUGAAGCACACCUUGUCGGACUUGUAACUCUCCACACCUACAUGAGUGACUUUGACCCACACCAUGAACUUGGUCUUCAUCCCUUCUAUGUUGGCGAGCUUGCCCCUCGACAAGGUCCCCUUGACGCGGGACGCAUACCUCACUACAGAAGAAUCUUUGAAGCUGACCUCACAGGUUGAAGGCAGGUGAACAACCAACUUCGAGUUGGUUUCAUCGAACUCGUAGGUUAUGAUGUUUCUAGGAAAGAGGCCCGGUGGGAGAUUAUACUCACGGAGGAGGUCAGGCAAGGAUUUCAGUGGUUUACCUAGAGAAAAAUGAAAAGCACUAAGCCUUUAAAGAAGAUAAAAAAUGAGUAACUGAACAUGCUCUAACUGAUUAGAGAAUCUAUAGGGAAAUAUUUAGUAGCCUGUGUUGAUAGAAAAUGUCAACUUUUUGCACAGAUGCUAAAACAAUUAUUAAAAGGUUAUCUACGCAAACAAUUUGAAAUGCAAAUUUACUUGCCUUACAAAGCACUUUGCUUAAAAUGCAACUUUUAGUCAAUCAAGACUGGUAACUGUUAAAGAAUAUGCAACUGUAAUGGAAAAGGAAUACUAAUCAGAAAAGGUCAAUAAUGGUUUUAUUGAAUUAAAAAUAAUGUCAUUGGUUGCAGUUCAAUGCUGUAGGAUAUGCCAAAUAGUGGAUACAAGAAGCCCACAUUUUGCAAGCUGAUAUAUAAUGAUUAACCAUUAACGCACCUGAAAACAUUAUGAGUAUAAACUAUCCGUAAGUUUUGAAGAACGACAUUUGGUUGAUAACUAAAUGGUAACCAUAUUUAUAGUUAAAUUUUUAUAGCUCAAGAAAGUUUGAUGUUCUUGCUCAUAUGUUAAAGAGGAAAUAUCAAGUUAAUGGUCCACCUUACUAAGAAACUCAAUGGCCAACCAACAUAUGAAAUACAAGUAAUGACAGAUAAUGUGGUAGCUGCACAACCCACUUAUUAAAAUUUAGGUAUCACGAGAUGUGAGCCUUAAUGGCUUUUAACAAGUCAAAACUUCAAUCAACCCAAACUCGGAAAAGAUCUGGGACGAGUUUAAAACUAGCUAAUUAGCGAAAGGAUAUAAUCAGCCUGGAGUGCAGAGUGAUUUUUGAAGAACGAUCAUCAAUAAUAUAGGACAGGAAAAUGAGCUUUUGAAUUGGUAGACAGGGCAGCUCAUAAUGCUUUACAGAAUUUAACGCUAGAGAUCACAGCCUAACUCUGUUCAAGAAGAGAGGACAAAAAAGAAAGGGCAAAUUUUCGUAUUUGUAUAAGAAAUAAGCUCCAAAACAAGUGACUAGAAGGGUCAUAAUAUAAGUUGGUUAUCCCCAUUUAACACUCAUGAGUUACCAACAUAUACCAAAUCGAUCAAUUUUUUACAUCACCUUAGACAUUUACAUGACCAAUAGCUGCUUUUACAAACAAACAUUAAGCUAAGAAUCAAUUUUUUACAUCACCUUAGACAUUUACAUGACCAAUAGCUGCUUUUACAAACAAACAUUAAGCUAAGAAGGAAUACAUAAUAAAGGAUAAUCAACACAUAUGUGAAUGAUCUAUAAAUUUGGGAACCAAAAACAGAACCAAAAAUAUAUAUAUAUUUUGCAUAUAGGAGGAACUGUAACAAGACUUUAGUUACUUGACUAAUAAGAUAAGAAAAAAGGAGAGUUCGGAAACCAAAUGGGAGCUUUACGAAAGGCAGGGGACCAACUAAUAAUGGAAUUCAUGAAUACGAUGUGAUACCAACCAAUCACCAAUCAUUCACAACCUUACGGAAUCAUGCUGCAGAAGCUCCAUAAUCGUAACAUGGGUGCACAUUUUGAAUGGCAUUGAGAUAAUAACUCAAAUGUUAUAGAGCAAAAGUACCAGAUACAUGAGAAAAUAAAUAAAUAACAUUAUAAAUUUAAUCCUGUUACCAUUAUUCCCCCUUUUUGUUAGAGGGAUGGAGUGUUUGCGCAAAUGAUGGAUUGCUUACGGUUUAUACAUCUACAAUGAAAACGAAUGCUUAGCAGUAACAUAAUUCAGUUCUUCGUUUUUUUUUUUGUUUUUUUUUUUGUUUUUUUCAAAGAAGAUGUUAUUCCAUAUGCACGCAGGGAUGCAUUGCAAGCUAAACAACAACAACAAUAAUAAUACUAAUAAUAAUUAUAAGCACAUCCAAUAAAAGAAUUUGUGAGUAAAAAAGAAACCAAAAGAAACAAGGGUAAGCUCUAAAUUCUUUCAUCCCCUACAAAAUACUAAAUCCAUUGACAACCAAGAUGAAUCCAGAGUAGAGAGAUUCGAACCUUUCAAUUUCUCGAAGAUCCAUUUAGCUUUCUCUUCCACAGUGCUCGAGAAACGCUGCAAAAUCACCGGAAUAAACAAUUUUCACUAUAGUUUACAAACCAAAAAAAAAGUAAUCAAAAUACCUACAUCAGAUAAUCAUAAUUAAAUGCAAUGCAUAAGAGACUCAACAGAUCCCAUAAUUUCGCCAAAAAAAAUCUACUAAAAACACCGAAAAAUUUAACCCAAUCGAUCUACAUUGCUCCAAACAAACACCCUAAAUCCCAACAUAACACAAAAAUAAAAACACAAAAAUAGAAAAACAAUCGAGAUACUCUAAUAAUUCGUAGAAGCUCACGGAGAGAUCUUCGCCGAUGGAGGAGAUCUCCUCUUUCGCCUUUCGCGAGAUCCAAAAGCUCCCCACCUUCGUAAGCGCUUUCUCCAUUAGAGCGAUUCCCCUUUUCUUCGCCCUCUCCUUUGAAUAAAGAGGGUGAGAAGGAGAUUUUUUUUUUUUUUUUUUUUUUUUUUGCCUUUUUUGGUUGAAGAAGCAGAGGCGACGAAGACGACCACACACACCCCAACACCAGUAAGGAGCGUAGCAGCGGCGCUCGCUUCAAAAAGACGCAGUGACAGUGAGAUACUCUCUGCAGUGAAACCAGGAUCGAGUAACGGGGUUGCAACACGGAACAGCUUUUUCCAACAAAUAACUAAAUGACACGUGGCUUUUUAAAGCAGGAUAGGAAAAUUUUUGAACACCGUACUGCGUGUUUAAUGCUCUAUCUCCCGCUCAAGUUUUGUGACUCCUCUUUAAGGGCGUGUUUAGUUUAUAAUUGGAAUAAGAAUGAAAAAUUAAAUUAAAUUGCUUUGGAAUGAAAAAUGAAAUGAUGAAUCAUUCAAAAAUAUUUGGUUUAUUAUUGGAAUGAAAAUUGGAAUGAAAAUUUAAAAUUUUUGAAAGAGAGCUUUGAUUAAGAGAGAGAAAAGUGAUGAAGGGAGAGAAGGUAGGUGUUGAUAAAAAAGGAUUUUGAAUAGUUUAUUUUGGAAUGAGCCAAUACGGGAUUCAAAGCCGGAUUGGAUCAUAAAUGGAUUUGAUCAUUCCCAUUCUGGAGUGGAAUGGAAAUCGGAAUCCGAUUUCUAUAAAACAAACGGCAACUAUCGAAAUCAAUGAAUUCCAUUUCGAUUUCAUAAUCUAAAAUAGGUGAACCAAACAUACCCUAAGAGUGAAAAUGGUUAGAAUAAACUCUGAUUGUAUUUAAUAUCGAAUAUAAAUUUUAAAUUUUAAUAUUUGAUGAAUAUUUAUAUUCAAAUUUAUAUUAAAAAAUAAAUAAAUAUAAAUAUGAUUUUGUUAAAAAAUUGGCUGUAUUUGACUAUUUUCGUCUCUAUUUCUAUUUGAACGUUCCAUUUGAAUCGGAUUAAGGCUUAUUCUAGUAAUACAGUGGCUCUAAGUAUUAUUUUUAUUUGCUAAAAUAUUUAAAAAAUUUUAAGUGUUUUUUUUUAUUUUUUUCUUCACUAUAAAAUUGCAAGUUCAACUGUCAUCAUUAAAUACGUAAUUUUGACCACANUAAAAAAUUUUAACUGUUUUUUUUUUUUUUCUUCUUUAAUACUAUAAAAUUGCAAGUUCAAUUGUCAUCAUGAAAUACGUAAUUCUGACCACAAUUUUAUAGCUCAGAGGAAGAAAUAUUGAAAAUGCAUUUAGAUUUGUUAGGCCGUCAAAAGUUUGGAAGAGAUGGAUUUAGUCUCCCCAUUACUAAAUUAGCUCUAAAUUGUUGAGCUACCCAGCGAGGAGAAUUGUAUAAGGAUAUUUGGUAGGUGGGAGGUUUGAGAAUAAUCAAAAAGUGGCUAUUCCAGAGAUAGGUAUAAAUUGAGGUAUAAGCGGGGAUUAGAUUAUCUUUGCGUUUGGAUGAAAAUUGGGUUAUUUCUGAGAAUAAAAAAAUAGCGUUUGGUUAGAUAAGAUAGAAUAAGAAGGAUAGUAGGUUUUAUAAAUAAAAAGUAAUUAUAUUAUUCUCUUAUUAUAUUUGAAUUUGAAUUUUUAAAAUUUUAAAUUUAUAUUUUUAAAUUUAAAAUUUUAACUUUGAAAUUUUAAAUUUUGAAAUUUAAAAUCUCAAAUUUUAAAUUCAAAAUUUUAAAUUUUAAAAUUCAAACUUUAAAUUUAAGAUCAAAUUUAAAUUUGAAAAAUAUAANAAAUUUUUAAUUUUUAAAAUUUUAAAAUAAAAAUAAGGGUGGGAACAAUUAAUAAAAAUAAUUUAUUAUAAUAAAUUUAUAAAUUUUUUUAAAUUCUACUUAAACUUAAAUUUAAUAAAAAGAAUUUAUUAUAAUAUUUAAAUAUAAUUUAUUAAAAAUUUUAUUAUAAUACUUAAAUAUAAAUAAUAUGUAUUAAUAUAGUACAAUUAAUAAUUUUAUAAUAAAAAUAAUGUAUUAUAAUAUAUAACAUAUUAUAUUUAUUUAAUUUAGUUUUAAUUCAAUUUAUAAUUUUAAUUAAGUUUGAAAUUAAGCAUUGGAAUAGCACUAUUCCAUCAAAAUGGUGGAAUAGCAAAUUCCUUGCUAUUCUGGGAUAAUCGGGAAUAGCAAGGUUUGACCGGAAUAAAAUAUUCCGGCCAAAUUUCACCCCGUUUGGCGGAAUAGCGGGGAUAAAUUUCGUUAUCCCCGCUUAUCCCUCGAACCAAACGGGACCAAAUAUUAUAAUUUUAUAUAUAGUAUGGUAACUAUCCUUAAUUUGAGAAAAAAUUGAAAGACAAUUAGGAAGAUAAACUUGUCUCUCGCUUAAAUUUUUUUUUUAACGGCUGCAUAAAAAAUUAUAAACAAUGUAGGAAUGGUGUCAAUUACUGUAGUUAACCCUUCUUGUGUAGUUUUUGUUUUAUUAGUUGAAUCUAAACAUAUCAAAUUGGCUACCCUAUUUCAAAUUCAUAUACAGCUAAAAUUGCUACCAAAUUAUAACUGUAUGUAAUCAAAUAAUACAUAAAAUCAGUGAGAUGUGAGCCGUCACAAAAUAGUAUCGUACAAAUGCCUCAUAAUAUUGUCAUUCAUACUUUAUAUAUGUAUAACAUCUUAAAUUACAUAUAUAAUUUAAUUAUAAUUUUUUACUAUAUAAAUAUCAGCACAUCAAUAACACAGCCUGCGGUGGAUGCGAAAACAUUAUCCUCACAAAAAAGACAGCCAUUGCUAUUGAGCUUAACGACAUAACCACCGGCGUGCUUGACAGCUCGUCUCGGUGAGGGCGACAGCUAAAUCCACUCUGCAGUCUGAACCCACAACCACAUCGUUGGGCCGAAGCUCGUACCGUUCGUCACCUUGUUUUGUACUACCAAAUUAUUAAUGCAUUAUUAAUAUACUGACAUUUUGAGUAGAACCGACUUAUUUAUUAACUAGUCGACUUCAAACUAGCUUGUGAAAAAUAAGUUAGAUUGUUCAACACGCUACUGAAUAAAAAAUUUUAACUGACCGUCAGAAAAGCAAGUGGCAAAGGGUUUGGUGGUUGGUAUCCGAGACCCAAGUUCGAAUCCUUAGUUGAUUCAUAUUUUCAGCUAAAUUUAUUUCUAAAUAAAAUAAACGAAGCGGGUAGCAUGCUAUCUAUCUCUUAAAAAAAAUUAAAAAAAUAAAAAAAACUAAAAUCUUACUCUAAUAAAUUGAAAUUCACAAAAUAUAGAUCUCGUUAUAUUUGAAUUGGCAUAGAUAUUUGCAAUACAUACGUGUGCGUGUGUGUGUGUGCUUACUCUAAUAAAUUGAAAUUCACAAAAUAUAGAUCUCGUUAUAUUUGAAUUGGCAUAGAUAUUUGCAAUACAUACGUGUAUAUUCGAGUUGAAUACGAGUGACUCGUGCUCGCCUUUGGCUUGUUAGUGUUUUGGACUAAAAGUAUAAUAUGUGUUCAGCUUAUUUAUUAAAUAAGUGAUCUUUCUUUUAGUUAACUUUUCGACUUCUCGUCUUCUAAUGGUCCGUUUGCCAUCAGGGCAGAAUAUUUAAGUAAAUAAUGAAAGUCGGGCUGGUAAGUAAUCUUGAGUUUAUAUCGAGCCGAACAUGACCGACUCAUGACUCAUGAAUAAUAAGCUAGAUUGUCAGUCCUAGUUGUAGGAAUUCGAACACCUCCUCAUAUCUGUAAAGAGAUCAGAAUUUUUGUUUUUGAGAGAUAGGUAGCACGCUACCGAUCUUGUUUAUUUCAUUUAGAAAAUAAACUUAGCUGAAAACAUGAAUCAACUAGAAUUCGAAUUUAGAAUUCCGAAUACCAACCACUAAAUUUUUUGCCACUUGCUAUAGGGUGGAUAAGAAAUCAGAAUUUUGACUUCGGUAGGACGACGGUUCGAGUUCAAAUUUGCAAAAUUCAAGUAUUAACUGUGCUUCCAAACAGUCCCUGGAUUCACUGCUUCCGACGCUUCUGCUUUUCCGCGCAGCAGUAAGUGAGAAGGCGCGAAAACUACAUACUUCGGCGGCUCCGCUCCGUCCUUUCGACCUCUCCGAUCGAUGGCGACGUUCUCUCGACGCCGCGCGCACGACAACGCGGGCGUCCGAUGCGCUGCUUCUCGUUCUUGUUUCCAACGAUGGACUCUUCUCAGACCCAACUCUGCUCCUCCACCUCUCCCAUAAAAAACCUGCUCGGAAUCCCUUGGGUCCGUCCUUUCAUUCCCUCUCCUGCAAUUGGAGGUACUUUUUUUUCUUUUUUUUCUCCUUUUUUUUGAAAUAUCGCUCCUUUUGUAAAUUGUUGUCCUUUGAUUGAUGGGAUUUACAGUAGGUGAUGUGAAAAAUCUGGUUUUGAUUUGCAUUUUAGGAAAGCAUUAUUACUGUACAAUCUUUACCUCUCCAGUACUAUUAAAUUGUUGUUGCAAUCAUUCAGCGUAGAGAAGGAAAAAUUAAAAGCGCUUUUAGAUUUUUUUUCGACAUUUUAUAAUAUAAAAUUGAUACUUUUAGCUCCAACAGUAGUAAAAUAGGUUGUAUCAAUUAAGUAGAGCCUGUUUGGUCUUACUGAAUAACUAAAAGCACGCAAUAUUAAAUAUUUCAAAUAAUUUCUUUAUGCAGAACUAGAAGCGCCAAAUUAGAAAUUUUGCAUUUGAAACUCAAAAAUCUAAUUUUUUUGCCACCUACUGUAGCAAAAGCUUCAGAAUUUUUCCUUUCUCAACCGCGAUAUUACAAACUUUUGCUAAAAGCGGAAGCAGAAGGGGGACCAAGCAGACCCUGUAUUAUAGUGGUAGAGGAGAAAAGCCUAUAUAAAGAGCUAAAAGGCACAAGAGAACAGAUUGUGCAGGUGCAUGUACAUAUGGUUCUGUUUAUUGAAACAUAUCUAUCUUACUCUAUCAUUCUUAAAUAAAAACGAGUUUCUUCAUUAAUUUCUGGGUCUUUGAGACUUUCAUUUAUUAAUUCAACUGGUUCAUGCUGCUUGCUGACUAUAUUUGCACUAAGUUUACUAAUGAUCUCAUGUCGAAGCUAUACGCGAGUCCAUAGUCAAUGUUUGUUUGUGAAUUUAAUGCUGAGGAUACUCGUUCAUAUCGUGUUUUGAUUUCCUUAUUCAAUGUAAUUGCCAAAUGUUAUACUAUAAACCCCUCACUUUCAGGAAGAAGGAAUGGCUGAGAUCAAUUCAAAGCCGUUUGAGUCCGUACAGGCCGCGCUAUCCCUAUUUGAGGAGAAAACUGAUCGAAAGAAGUUCGGCUCAACUGGUAAUGUGGUAAGUGCAUUUCUAAAGGUAGAAUUAUAGUAAAAGAGCUUACUGUUCACAUGUACUCGAGCAUUUUCUUACCUGGUUCCCUUUUCUCGAAUCAUCAGGAAGCGCGGAAGGAGGAGUCGGACAUCUUAUUGAAGGAAUUGGCCAAUUGCAAAGUGCUGCUCGAAAUAAAAGAAUCUUUAAAUAUGCAAUCCAAUCUCAAGCUCGAAGUAUGUCGGAAAACGAUUGAAGAGCUGUCGACACAGUUGAAGAAUGUUGAAGUUGAAAGCGAUAAGUAUGAGAGAGAAUAUUUGAAAGCUCAAGGCCAUAUUGCGAAGCUUGAAUAUGAUAACAAGGUGAUUAAAGGCCAAAUCAUGGAAUUUGAGAGUAAAAAGGAUCACCAUUGUGUUUGCAUGAAAUCUCUGCUCAAUGCUGCCGGCGAAUCAAAAGUUACUGCAUGGGGAGAAAUGUUGGCAAAAACUAUAGAAAUAGAUUAUUUUCAAAUGGAACUGAAGCAAGUAAAAGAGUUGUAUCUAUCAUCUCGAAAUGUUUCUUCGGAUGCAAUUGAUUACUUGAGCCAAACUCAAUCAAAAAUUGAGAUGAUGCAAAUGGAAAACAUUGGAAAUUCAGUGUAUAUGGUGACAAUGGAGGAUGGCAUCAGAAGAAUGGAAGAAGUUCUUCAAAGUGCGAGGCAGAAAAUCGCUGAAUUGAACUGCCAAGUUGAAACUCUCCAAAGAAGUAUGCAGGAAAUGAAUGGUGAGAUGUCUGAGAUGAGGACCAGGGAGCUGGAAUUGGAAGUAGAAAUUGUGCUGCUAAAUACUGAGCUCCACAGAAGCAGGACGCCAAUCGCUGGCGCUGAGGUUGCAGAAGCAAGGUUUAGUAGUGCUCAAGCUGGGUUGUGUCUUGCUGUGCAGCAACUGUCGAUGCAAGCUGAAAAAGCCAAGAGCUUGAAACUUCCUAUAAAUAGUGUCGCUGAUGUGGUGAUCGAUGAUGAGGCAUCUGAAGUAAACCAAGAAGCAGUUGUCCAGAAAUAUUCAGGAAAAGCCAAUGUGCUAGCAGACAUUCCACUUAAGAAUGAUUGCGAACCACUUGUACGUGAACAUAAAAAUGAGACGGAUACCUUAAGAGAAGAGUUGGAAACUGCUAAGGCUGAGAUCAAUGACUUGAGAUUCAGUUUAAAAGAGGCAGUAAGGAGAAAUGGGCUUGCUGAGAAAGGUAAGGCGGCAAUAGAAGACCAACUGAGGAGCUGGAGGAAGCAGCAGCAACAACAACGAAGAUGUGCUUCAGAAGCUAAAAUGGAGCGUAUCGUCACAAGAAAUGUGAAUAUGGUGUAUGCAAAUCCUUCAGCAUAUGAACUAUCUAUCAGCAAGCCAGUGCUUCGUGGGGUAUCUUUACAUGCAAAUCGAAGUGCUUCGUUUGGUAAUGAGAAGCAUUUCAAUUAUGUUCCUCUUGGUAAGAUCCUCAAUAUGAAAUAUUAGUCAUGUCGAUUGUGUGACAUGCCCAAGUUUCAUACUGAAAAAUAUCUCACCACGUGAGUUGGAUUUUAAAGUCAGCUGUUUAGCUUUUUAAACUAGCACGAGUUAUGUUGAAUGAUAAUUUCUUUUGUCCUCAUAAUCUAUUAACUGGUGAUUGAACUUGACCAGCUUUGGAUUCAAAUCUGAUUAGUAAAAUGCGAUCAAUUGAGCAGACAAUUCUUCAGCCAGAUCUACCAAAUAGGAAAUCUUCUUUGUAUUUGACAGUUCUUUUUCUUCUUCUUUUUUUUCAGGGAGAGAUAGAUUUUGGUUAUGGAUUGAGUCUGUUCUGUUGCAAGUCGGGUGCUCAGUUAUACCUCAUAAAAAUGACAUUUUCUUGGGGCUAGUCAUGUCAUGUUAUGGGUGCCUUUCCGUGCUUACUUGACAAGUAGCACAAUUAGUUUUUUUGCAGGAACUUAAAAUGCAUAGUUGCCUUUUCUUCCGCCAGAAGUCCUUUUUUAUUAUUUUUAACACUUCCGAUUAUAAGACUACCAAUGAAACAACUUUUUUUGGACCAAGAUUAAUAAUUCUUAGAUUCGUUGUGUUCUUCUCUUUCUUGCUUCUAAUAUGUUCUCACUCUUAGACCCCAAAAGCAAGGUUUUUCAUCCCCCUUCAAAAUUCUUCAAUAAAAUUUUGCAGCAUUAUCGGUUGUUUUGUAGCAUCCAUAGCUGCCUAUCAUUCUUAGGAACUACUGAUAUCAUGAAAACAAGUUACUGCUAUUUGUCAAUAGUGACUUUCUGAUGAUAGAGAAACGGAUCACCUUCUCCAACAAAGAGAAGAAAUAUGAAGAUUUGUUGCGUUCAAGAUUUAUCUGGAUUUAUGAGAUGGCUCUCUUAUGCAAUGUGUGCAAUAUGAGCAUUAGUACGGCGAGCAACAAUGUAGCUGCUUCCCUGAGAGACACUUAGAUUUGCAAAGCAUACGUGAUUAUGAUUAAGGAGAUGGUUAGAGAUCACUGUUAUAUUAGCCUAACAUUUGUGUUGCAGGUUUGGCUUGGAUUGACCUAAUGUUUUCCGAAUUGCUCUAUCUAUUAGAAGUUGCUUGGAAACGCAAUUGUUGUCACAUGUCAUGGUAGUAGGUGUUCUAAGGAAUUAAGUUGUAAGGUAAAUCUCUAGUUAGAUCAUGCACAAUGGACUGACAUGUUUUCAGAAAAAUGUAAUUCAAUCUCCAACGCAGAAUCGUACAAAUGUAAUCCUCGGUCAGAAUCAUCGAUCCUUGCAAUAUGCUAAAUGAAAACUAGCAAGAAUGGAGAAGAUUUCUACUAAAAAUACAGAAGAUUACUUCCCAAUUGAUGAUCAAGUGGAGAAGGAAGAAAAUGUUCACACUCAAACAAAAUAAUCAGUAUUGUUGAGGAUGCUAUAUUGGCAUCCAAGGCAUAAGCAAAUCACUCCAAAAUGUUAGGCAAAUGUCUCGAGCUUAUUAUCGAGAAGAGAACAUAGAUGAUGCUUUCAUUUUAUUCAAUUGCCUUUCCUUCUUCUGAGCUCUCUUUUUAUAUUUUUUCUGAAACUUUGUUAAUCAGCAGUAUGAAGUGGCAUCAUGGUGUGUUGUGAACAUUUAAUUGCAGCAUUUGGGCAAAAGUAUAACUAUAUUACGCCAAAAAGCUUUGCAUUAUGAAUUUUGUUGGUGCAUGGAUACUUUAAUUUGCCAUGCCUCAUAUUCUCCAGCAUCUUUUGGACACAAGUAGCAACCUCUUGUAUGCUUUCACCUAAGGCAUGUUCUUAUGAUUCUAUGCAGAGGUAGAACAAAAACACUCACAUGGAGAGGAAUCAUUUGCACUAAUCACACACUCAAUUCGCGACAAAUACAAUGAAUAGCACUCUUGUUAGAAGAUCUAAAACCUUUUCUAUGCAGUAUUCUCAAUCAUUUGCUCAUAAAUGAGUUGUCUGUUUCAUUUUAUAUGCCAUCUUAAACCUUGCUUUUCGUGCUGAGAAUGUCUUUUUGUUACCUAAAUUCCUUUUCUUUUUCCUGUUCCUCUCCUGGACUUGGAUUUAUAAUGAUCACUUCUCUGUUGUGAACAUUGACUACUAUAAGCUCAAAUCAAGGGGACACAUUAUCUUUUUCAAUCAUGUGAUCUGAUCAAAUAAUUAGUGCAGGAAAGAGCAUUUCCUUUGGACAUCUGUGCACAUGGGAGUGAGUGUUUUUUAUUACUUAGUUCUCUCUCCAGGGCUUACACUUUCAAUAAAAUUGCCCUUUGAUUGAUCUUACUGUUCUGGUUCCAGGUAAUGGAGUUAGGUCUCAUUUGGUCUCAUUCUGAUGUUGCACAUCUUUACACCCUGUGCUUACCAACCACAUGCAAAUUGAAACAGUGGAUUUUUUUUUUUUUUUUUUAACUUAAUUGUGGGGUAUUUUUGUCUUAAUACUGUGGGAGUUGUUGGGUUGCUUAGAUUCUCCUGUGCUGGUGCACAUACUGUGAAGAGAAUAUAAUCAAUUAAAACUCUUUGAUUAGUAUUAAGAGCAUGCCAAACCUUUGUACCCAAAAAAGGUUGCAUGGUAAUCAAGAUUCCAGUAAUUUUGCACAUGUUUUGUUUAUUUGAGAAGCAGAAACCAGAGUUUCAUGAAAGUGAAAAAUGCCUAGAGCUUCUGACUGAAACAAAAGAUUGUAGCAAAUUUUGGACUCUUAGAGUAGUUUUUAUGUAAAGCUUUUGUUUUUUGGUGUAGAAAAAAACUCGAAUAUAUAGCAACAGUAUUUCUGUAGAAGAUUCAGUAGCAUCAAAAUAGGCCAUUAGCUUUGAAUUUUCAGUGCAAGGUGCGAAAUGUUGCUUAGUUUAUUUUUAGGGUAAACUUCAAAUACCCACUUGUGGUUUCACACUUUCUUACUUUAGUACCCUGUGAUUUAAAGUGUAUCGCGUUAGCUCCUGUGAUUUUGCACUUUCUCACUUUUGUACCCUGUGAUUUAAAGUGUAUCGCUUUUGUACCCUGUGAUUUUGCACUUUCUCACUUUUGUACCAUGUGAUUUAAAAUGUUGCUUAGUUUAUUUUUAGGGUAAACUUCAAAUACCCACUUGUGGUUUCACAGUUUCUUACUUUAGUACCCUGUGAUUUAAAGUGUAUCGCGUUAGCUCCUGUGAUUUUGCACUUUCUCACUUUUGUACCCUGUGAUUUAAAGUGUAUCGCUUUUGUACCCUGUGAUUUUGCACUUUCUCACUUUUGUACCAUGUGAUUUAAAAUGUUGCUUAGUUUAUUUUUAGGGUAAACUUCAAAUACCCACUUGUGGUUUCACAGUUUCUUACUUUAGUACCCUGUGAUUUAAAGUGUAUCGCGUUAGCUCCUGUGAUUUUGCACUUUCUCACUUUUGUACCCUGUGAUUUAAAGUGUAUCAAGUUAGUAUCUUGUGGUUUCAUUUUUCUCCUUUUAUUAUUUAGGGAAAACUUCAAAAACCCCCCUUGUGGUUUCAAUUUUUUUCACUUUAGUAUCCUGUGGUUUAAAAUGUAUCAAGUUAGUACCCUGUGGUUUCUCACUUUAUCACUUUAGUACCCUGUGGUUUAAAGUGUAUCAAGUUAGUACCCUGUGGUUUUGCACUUUAUCACUUUAGUACCCUGUGGUUUUAAUUUGUAUCAAGUUAGUACCCUGUGGUUUUUUAAAUCACAGGGUACUAAAGUGAUAAAGUGUGAAACCACAGGGUACUAAAGUGAUAAAGUGCAAAACCACAGGGUACUAACUUGAUACACUUUAAACCACAGGGUACUAAAGUGAUAAAGUGAGAAAUCACAGGGUACUAACUUGAUAAACUUUAAACCACAGGGUACUAAAAUGAAAAAGUGUGAAACCACAGGGAGGGUUUUUGAAGUUUUCCCUAUUAUUUAUUUUACUAAUUUUUUUCGUUAAAUCAGUGACAAAAUUAAAAUUAAAGGGUAUUAAAGUGAAUAUUCGAUAAACCUAGGUAGGGUAUGUAAAGUUUUUUUGUAUAUAAUUUAGCGAAAUACUAACGGAGGAAAAAACAAUCAGUAGCAAAGUUAAAACUAAAUGGUACUAAAGUAAAUAUCGAUAAAUCUAGAUACGGCAUCUGAAAUCUUUAUAUAUAAUUUAAUAAAAUAUUAAUAGAGGAGCCGACGAAAAAAAAAAAAAAACCACAGGGUGUUAAAUUGAUACACUUUAAAUCACAGAAUAUUAAAGUAAGAAAGUACGAAACCAUGAAAAACUAAAUUGAUAUAUUCUAAACCACAGAAUAAUAAUGUGAAAAAAUGCGAAACCACAUGCGUUAUAUUUGAAGUUUUUCUUUUUAUUUUGGACAAUGCAUUUGGUAACACCCCGUUUGAAAUAGGUACAAGAGGGGGGAUAACUCCUUAUCCCCCUCUUGUACCUAAACACAAUUUGGAGGGGGGUGGAACACUUGGAACAAGGGGUGGAACACUUGUUCCACCCCUCCCGGGUAGAGAGAGAGAGAGAGAGAGAGAGAGAUUUUUAAUUUAAAUUUUAAUUUUUAAAAUUUAUAAUUUAGUUUUUUAAAAUUUAAAUUUAUAAUUUUAAAUUAUAAAUUUUAAUGUUUAAAUUAUAAAUUUGAUAUUUGUAAUUUUUAAAUUUUAAAUUUAAUUUUUUAGAUUUAAAAUUUAAAAUUUUAUAUUUUAUGUCUUUCAAAUUUAAAUUUGAUCUUAAAUUUAAAAUUUGAUAUUUAAAAUUAAAUUUUGAAAAUUAUAAGUUUUAAUUUUAAUUUCAAAUUUAAAAAUUUAAAAAUUAAAAAUUUUAAUUUAAAAUUAUUAGUUUAAAAUGUUAAAUUCAAUUAUAGAGGUAAAAUUAUUAUUUUCUAUCUAUAACUACCAACUAUUCCACCUUAUACUCAAAUUUUCAUCCAAACAUAAUUUUUCUAGUUCCAGCUUAUACUCAUAUUUUUAUCUAAAUAAAAAAAUACUUUUGUUUCUACGAAAAUUCAUUCUUGUACCUAUUUUCGGUAUAAUUAGUUCUUACUUAUAUUCCAACCAAACGGAGCCUAAAAGUACAAAAGGUUUUCAGGGUUUUCAGGCAUUAAUUGAGGAACUGUGUGCAUGCUUUUACUUGUACAAACAAAUUAAAGUAGGCAUUCCUUUUUGACUGGUAAUGUGACUGCAAUUAAAAUGAGAGAGAGAGAGACUUGCUAGCUAAGUAUCAAUGUAUGCACAGAAAUAUCCUUGCAUGUACUGGUGACUUUUUCAUCAUCUUCCACAUUAAAUUCCACAAGCAUCAAUUUCCCAAGUAGAAAAUUGCAUGCCCAUGUCAUGUGUAUGCUAAUUCCUUUUGCCUCAUCUUAAUUAACCUAGCGAGAAUCUUGCGAAAAAAAAGAAAAAAAGAAAAAAAAAGUAUUUAUAAAUCAUUUUCAAUGGUGAAUUAAGAGGAAGUAUAUAUCUACCCAAAAAAUAAUAAUAAAAAUCCACAUGCCAAUUAGUAUUUUAUAUAAAUUCAUUAAUUUUUUUUUCUUUUUGGACCUCCUGUUUGGGAUUGCAAAAAUAAUGUGUUACAAAAAAUAGUUACAUUGUGUAUAUCCUAAUUAAUAGGUUAAGAUAUAAUUUUUUUGCUACCAGUUAUUUAUAUAUUUAUUUAUUUUUGCAAUAAACCUAGGAUUAAUUUGGAAAAAAAAUAUUGACGGCCUAAAACAGCUAUAAAAAUAAAAAUAUUACACUCUUUCGAUCGAUAAAAUAAUUAAUCGGACAUAUUUCCUUUUUUGAUUCUUUUCUCAAAAAAGAUGAUAAAAGUUGUGGCUAUUUUAAUUCUCUUCAAAAAAAGAGUUUAUUUGACACCUAUUAAUGGAGUCCAUACGUAAGCUCAAUGGUGUCAUCAAAUUAAAGUUACAAUCAAGUGUAUAAUAAUUUAAUUAAGCGUACGUUACGGACCUGGAGAUUUUAAUAAUUAAUAAAACGUUAUUGUUGUUGUUUGUUUUAAAAAUGAUAUAUACAUACUCCAAAUUGCUGUAGAUCGAAUCAUAGAAAUAUAUAGAAUACCACGUGGAUCCUUGGACCAUAUCUUAUACAUCAUGCAUGCAAUGUUUGACACGUCUUUGCAUGCACGUGCAAAAGACCAAACAGGGACAUUCUUUGUUUCUCUAGAAAAAGUGUCCCGUGUCACAUUUCCCCUCACACGGACAUUAAUUAAGGUUACGUAAACAGAUAACCAAUAGAAAAAAAUAAAAUUAUAUAUAAUAAAAAUUCUUGUCCUUAGCUAGAAAGAAUAUAUAUAUAUAUAAGAAUUGAAUUUAGAACAUGUGAAAACGAUACACACAAGAAACCAAAAAAUGUGAAAUAUUUUUUACCGUGCAGUUGAAAAAUUAAGAUAUUAUAAAUUAAUUUGCGAAGACUACACAUAAAUUCUCCAUCAAAUAUAGUAAUAGGGAUUAGCUAGUGGACCUACUUUUACAAUAAUACAAAUAUAGUAAUAGAGAAAAGAUAAGUUUUGGUGAAACACAAAUAAACGUAAUUAUAACUUAACCAUAUGUGGUAACUGAACAAAUCACAUGCUCACUAUUAAUUAAUAGAUUAUGAAUGGACACUUUAAGCACUCGUGCACGAUGAGACACGCUAGUUUUCUUUUGAAAAAUCCGAAUAAUACAAAAGAACACACCUGUGACAAAGGACAUAACCAUUGAAAACUUAAAAUAUUAUUAAUUAUAAAAAUAAGCCUAAGUUUUAACAAUUGGAGCGUAUUUAUUAUUAAAGUUCACCAAAGGCCAGGCGAAAAAAACUUAGGAUGAAAAAACAUAUAUGUUUCUCUGUUUUAUUUCCGAACAGGUUGUAAAAAUAAUAAUUUAAUCUACUUAUUGUAAUAUGCAAGUUAUAUAAUUUCAAGAGACAAAAAAACCUUUAUAUUUUCGUAUAUCAUGCUAGGGAUGUGUGUCACACAAUAGGAGGAGUUUUUUUUUGAGGAAAGAUAGCAAGCUACCUGCUUCAUUUAUUGAAUGUAUAAACUAGGCUACAUGGAUGAGACAACUCGGGCCUCGAAGAGCGAUACAACAGUCAUAAAAAAAAAAAAAAAAAAAAACAACACACACACACACGCGCACACACACACACACACUAAAGGACCGAUCGUAAGAGGGGUUUUCAGGACUUCAAAAGCUGCUUAAUCCGUUGUACAAUCAAAACAGGGUCGAAAUGGACGUUUCGAAAGAUCAAAUCAUUCCUGGCCUUCCAAAUGGUCCACCAGCAAGCGACCAAUUCAGGUAAACUAUUUUGCUUAUUAUGUAUCCCUUUCUUGGCCAACCACCUAUCCCAGACGUAACGUGCGUCUUCUCCCAUCUCCCCAGCCCGAACUCCCUCUCGAAUCAUCACCAUACAGAAUUUGAUAACAACGCAUUGAGAGAACAAGUGGUCCACUGUCUUCUCAUAUACCCUGCACAGCACACAGACAGAAUCUCCGAUCCAGCCUUUCUUCACAAGGUUAUCAGCUAUAAGAGGGCUCUUCUUAAGAACCAGCCAACAGAACACUUUAACCUUUAGGGAAAUUUGGAGCCUCUAGAUCUUGGACGCACGUCCAUCCCUCGUACCCCCGAAUAGGAGGAGUUUUAGUUUGUAUAUAUGAGAACGUAACCAAGUGCACACUAUGCUGGUCAACCUAUUGGUCAAUUAGAAUUGCCAUUUUUUGUUUACUUUUUAAAAAAAACAAAAUUGAAAAUUUUGAUCUCAUAUAUAUACACACACACAUCAAUAUGAAUACGCUACUUAUUGAUCAACACGUGUGUGUACAAAGAAACAAGAUUUUUCUCAUUGUAACUAGCAUGUUCAAUUUGGUGACUUCUCAUCUUAAUAAAUUUUUCCUUUUUUUUGUUUUUUAGAGGGGAGAGUCUUAUAGAUGUUCAAAUUGCUAAAUCUCUUGUUGAAGAUUUAAUGUGAAUUAUAUACAUGUAGACAAACACAUUCAUAUUGAAUUAACAUUAACAUACUUUCAUUUUCUCUUAUAAGUGUCCCAUCAAAUAAAAUGGUACACUUGAAUUAUUAUGGUAUUUUUAAUGUACAGUGUGUAUUAUUUUUAUAUUUUGGGUAAAUUUCAAAUACUCUCCAUGGUUUCACACUCUCUCACUUUAAUACCCUGUGGUUUAAAGUAUAUCAAUUUAGCCUCUGUGGUUUCGCACUUUAUCACUGUAGUAUUCUGUGAUUUAAAGUGUAUCAAGUUAAUACCAUGUGGUUUCAAUUUUCUCUUUUUAUUAUCCAUUUCACUAUUUUUUUUCGUUAAAUCAGUAACAAAGUUAAAAUUAAAGGGAACUAAAGUGAAUAUUCGAUAAACCUAGGUAAGGUAUCUGAAGUUUUUUUGUAUAUAAUUUACCAAAAUAUUAACGGAGAAAAAAAAAAGUGACAAAAUUAAAACUAAAAGGUACUAAAGUAAAUGUUCGAUAAACCUAGCUUGGCUAUUUGAAGUUUUUUGUAUGUAAUUUAACGAAAUAUUAACAACGGAGCCGACGAAAAGAAAAAAAAUAAAACCACAUAGUACUAAUUAAAUUGAUGCACUUUAAACCAUAGGGUGCUAAAGUGAAAAAGUGUGAAACCACAGGGUACUAAAUUUAUAAACUUUAAACCACAAAAUAUUAAAGUAAAAAAGUAUGAAAUCACAUAGGUGGUAUUUGAAGUUUUUUUUUAUUAUUUUAUUGUAACACGGGAGAUCAUGAACAAAAAUUCUGUGGGGAGCAGCCACCAAGCAGUUUAAUUUGGGGCUUGGAAAAUUAUUCAAUGCACCUGGUUCACUGCUGUAAAUAUUUUUUUUUCAAAAUUAUAUUUUAUUUUAAUUGAUAUAUAUCAUGAAAAUGCUUAGAAGAUAAUCAAAAUUUGAUUGCAUAGAUAUAAUAUAUAAUGAUAAUACAGAAAAAUAACGAAUUUCAAAUCUAUUAUUUAGAAGUAUUUUAAUCUUAAUUUUUUAAAUAUCAUAAAAUACAAAUUUAUUAUAUUUAAACUAAUAUACGGUGCACUAGGUGCACGAAAUAAUUUUCAUAAAAUACAAAUUUAUUAUAUUUAAAGGUGCACGAAAUAAUUUUUGGGAGAGUAGUGGACCCCUACUUUUGGUGCCACACGGUUCCUAUCCGAGAACAACCCCAAAUUAAACUACUUUGGGUCACCUCCCAUAUAUAGCUCCCAAUUAUCUAUAAAUUUACGAAUAUAAAUAUUAAUUUUUUAUCUUAAAAAAUUAUAAAUAAAUUAGUAAAUAUUUGUUAAAUUAUGAAUAUUUUUAGUGAUGCACAAGUAUCCACAAAUACCCGCACAUAUAUAUAUAUAUNAUAUAUAUAUAUAUAUAUAUAUAUAUAUAUAUAUAUAUUUUAAAUGGGUGAGUAUCUGUAGGUAUAAUGAUCCAUCCGUGGAUUGUCCAAUUCACGCGUUUGGGGGUUCUACUCCAAACACAACAGUGUAUAUAAAAGACACUUCUAAGUUUUUCUUCUAUUUAGAAUAAUAGCGAAUGAUAAUUCUUAAUUAUUAUUAUUAUAGUAAUUUGAGCAGGUGCAACUCCCAAACCUAUAAACAUCUAGAGGACUUUGAAACUGAUAGUAGUUAUGAUCAAUUCAAAGCUGAUGCUUCAGUUGAGCACCCAAUUCAAAUCCUACUCAACCAAUCCAUCCAAAAAUUUCCAAGCAUGUAUAUCAUGUGUUCUUUCUUCUUAAUUUACUUGUCUUUUUCCAUUCAUUUUGUUUCCUAGCUAGAUAAGUGCCAAAUUAAGCUGGGCCCUAUGUGUGUAAAUUCAAUCGCGUGUUUCCUGAAAAUUGUUGUUUAAUUGACCUUAGUCUAUCACAUUAGCAUGGAUUCAUGAAUGACCUGUUGUUCAUUCCAUUCUUACUUAUAAUCUUAACAGGUCGGAGGUUAAUAUGAAGGAUUGUUUGGUUCAAAGUUUGUGACAUUCUCACAAAUAUUUUAUGUUCUGAAUAGUAAAUUUGCUAUUAACUUAUUAAGUUACUUGAGUUGAGUGAUUGUUAAAAAAUGGUAUAUUUGGAAUGACAAUUUAUGAUUUUGAGUAUGGAAAAAAGAAUACCUCCAAAUUUGUGGUAAUCUAAUAUUUCUAUCAGAUGAAAAUUUAUAAUUAUUAUCGACCGUCCCUAGAGUAAAUGGUAAAGGGCUUGAUGGUUGGUACCUGAGGACCCAAGUUCGAAUCCUAGUUGAUUCACAUUUCUAGCUAAGCUUAUUUCUAAAUGAAAUAAAACGAAGCGGGUAGCGUGCUAUCUAUAUCUAAAAAGGAAAAAAAGAAAAAAAAAAUUUACUAUUAUUGUCUAUAUAUUAAUCCACUUCUUCGAAAGAAAUUCUCUAGAAAUGUCCCUUUUUUUUAAAAAUAAAAAUAAAAUUAGUGCAUGAUGCGUCGACUGAAUUAUUGUGCAAUUAGAAUAAUAGUUGACUAGUUGAUUGGUUGAAUAGUAUAAUCUAAUAGGUGAAAAUGAUUAAAAAUGUUAGAUCUAACGACGAAAAAUUUAUAAGUAUUAAAUGCUUGGUGUUUUUAUAAGUACUAUAACCGGACUAUAUACAGAGAGAGAGAGGGACACACACACAUACGACUAGUUUCUUUUAAAAUUUUUUUGAAUGAUGCAUGCAUGCUUGUUCAAAAUAAAUGAAAAUAAUAAAACUAUGCUUAGAAACACCCAUUUGGCAACUUGUUUUGGAACAUAAGCAAUUAAUUGUGUGGUCAAAGAAUCCGUCAGUACAACAAAAACGGUCUAUAGCGACACUUUUAAAUGUAGGUACAUAUCAAAAAAGUACUGCUAGCUAAAAUUACCGACACUUUUAAAAAGUGUUGCUAUAUGUGGGGUCGCUAGGUAUAUAGUGACAGUUAAAGAGUGUCGCUAUAACCUAAAAGAGUGCUGCUAAUUUACCAACACUUAUUUAAGUAUUUAACAACCGCCGAAACUCUAUCUCGUUGGCUGCGGUGGCGGAGGAGAACGACAGGAAAGGCUCUUCGUCUAGAAUUUCAGUGGAUUGAGUGAAGAGAGAAGAAAAGAUGGUAAUUGAUUUUUUUUGUUUUUUUCUUUUCUGUUUGUAAUCGGGCCAAAUGGACUGGGUGUGGUGGGUUGAGUAGAGUAAUCUUUUAUUUUUUGUUGGAUUGGGCUUUAAAUUUAGGCAUUAGUAGAUAUUUUUUUUAAGUUUUAACCUAGUAAUUUUAGAAUCCUACGGUUGGAAUUUCGGCCUCUUAAUUCAAAAUGUGAGAUCCCAAAUAAUUUUAUAUAUAAAAUAUAAUAGAGCAAACAUUUUUAAUCUGAUUAUAGCGGUUUAGGUGGUGGUUAGCUUCAAGAGAUUAAGAGAGUUAAAUAUAUUAGGGCUAUAGUAAUCCUAUGAUAGAUAACUCUAUGAAAAAUGGAGCGUUACAUAAAGAAUAUAUGCAUCAAUAUAUAUUUACAUAUAUAGCUCCAUUUUUAUGUUUGUAAGACGAAAAAAUUUUUUUUUUAAAAAAAAUAAAUAUUUUAUGUACCAAUAAAUUUGAGUUAUUAGCCCCCGUUUGGUUCGGGGUUAAGAAAAAGUAGCUAUUCCAGGGAUAGGGUUAAGUUCAGGGUUAAAAUGGUGUUAAAAUUUUUUUGUGUUUGGUUGGAGGUUGGAGUUAGUCUAGGAUAGUAAAAAAAAGUGUUUGGUUGGAGUAGGUGGGAUAAGAAGAUAAUGAUUGAUAAAGAAGAAAAAUGUGAGAGCUCGGGAUGCGUGCGGGGUUAAAGUUGGGAGGGGGAGUAGGAUUAGUAAACCCCACUAACCCGAUUUGGGGUGGGGUUUACUAACCCCACCCUAAAAGAGUGGUGUUUGGGUAUAAAUUGGGGGUUAAGGGGUUAUUCCACCCCUUAACCCUAAUACUUAUGUCAUUUGUACUACUGUUGUCGUUCUCUCUCACAAAUAGGUGAAAUUUUUUACCAAAAGUACAGUUUGUGAAAUUAAAUAUAGAAAUUAAAUAAGACUGGUAAUCCAUCAAAAAUUUGAACUUCAAAAAUCAAAUUUUAUGUUUUGAUAAGAUAAUCGGAAUUCAAACUUAUGACCUUUAGCUUCAUACCACGAAAAUAUAAUUGAUUUGUUUUUUUUUUUUUUUUUUUUGAGAAAAAGAUAGUACGCUAUCCAAUAUAAUUGAUUUGUUAUUAAUGAUAUGGUGCAAGUGUAACGCAACAGAUUUUUUAAGUUGGGUCAGAAACAAUGGAUGAAACCGUGCAAGCUGUUACAUCAAAAAUUUACUCAAAAACACAUGUGAAAAGUUAUGGAUGGGAAAAGAACAAAUCAGAACCCCACAUCUUCCAACCCCCAAAAUUGGUCAUAGAAGUUGCUUUCUUUGACCAAAUGGCAUCUCUCUUCCAAGUAAUAAAGUGUUCAUGGGACUGAGUACUAACCAACUUAAUCUAAUUGCAACUGUCCCUGGAGCAAGUGAUAAAGGGUUUGAUGGUUGGUACCCGAGAUUCAAGUUCGAAUCCUAAUCGAUUCAUAUUUUCAGUUAAGUUUAUUUCUAAAUGAAAUAAACGAAGCGGGUAGCAUGCUACCUAUCUCUCAAAAAAAAAAAAAAAACUUAAUCUAAUUGCAUGUUUGGAAACCAAAUCCAAAUCAAAAACAGGGUUUGUACUUUGUAGGGAGGAUUGGAGAGUAAGCAAAUUAAAAGAGUUUUUGGUAAUUAAUUAACCUCAGAGGGGCUGGAGAUAACCAUGCUUUGUGUCCUUUUCUUUGAACAACGAAUUUCGCAACAAAUGCUGCUCAGAGAAAAUGACACUCCAAAUAUCAUAAGACAAGUUAACAAUAUCGAUAUUCAGAGAAUCAUAUUAUUCAGCUUGAAUAUAAUGUGUUUUGAAUAGGUGUUUUGAAUCAUUCAGAUCUAAAUCUUACUUCAUGUGGAUCAGUUGUAGCUUAGUAUGCGAAGGAAAACAACUUUUCUCUAACUUAUAUUUCAAUUGUAGAUUGUAAAAAUUUUUGGCUCCCUUAAAGAAAAAUCAAGACACUGUUCAAUUAUGUGAUAAUCUUUUUUUUUAUUAUUAUUGUUAAUUAGAACUGUCAACAAGUCGAACACGAGCAGUGAAGUUGGGACAACUCAAAUUUUUUUUAUUUUUCAAACUAAUUUUAUGAAACAACCGUUGUACUCGACAUGGGCUUGAAUUAAAUGGGAGGAAAUUAAUAUGCUAGGAGCCUGAGGUGACUCGAACUCAGGACCUCCUGCUCUGAUACCAUAUGAAACAAUCGUUGUACUCUAAAAGCUUAAGCUAUUAGAUAACGGUGUUUUAAAUAUUUUUAUAUUUAACAAAUUUCGAGGCGAAUGUCAGCUGGCUCGCGAACAGCGAGCUAGAUUGAUCGCCGUAAUUACUAACAAACAGUUCAAUCAUGCGACUCAAAGAUAUUUUAUUUCGAUCAACAAUUUCAUUCUUUUGAAUCCACCAAUAAAUUAACCAAAACUUCGCCCUCAAUGUGAAAACAAUCAACAAUUCCGGCCUCGAUUUAUUUAUCGAGAAUUUAGAAUUGAUUCUCACUUUUUUAAAUUCCAAUUUCCACACAGCCCACGAUUGGUUAAACAUUAAUUGAUCUAGAAAGCUUUUAACCAGUUGUGGAGGCGAGCCUAACACCCACAUGUACUAUUCUCAUUUCCCCUCUACCUCAACAAAUAUUUUAGCCUGCACCUGAUGCAUUUGUAUAAUCAUAUACUGAUAUAUAACUUGUUAGAUGUGAUUCGAAAUUGGUAAUCGACUUCAGUUUAGAAUUUCGACUCGUCGACAGUUUUGCGGUGCGACAUUUGAAAAUAAAUUUAUGAAAAAAAAGUGAAUGUCUAUAAUAGAUAAUGAAGGACUCUGCCCGUGCGGUACGGAUCGGAUCCAAAAUCUGUUAACCUUUUUCGUUUUUGGCAUAGAGGCGACAGAUCUUGGUUGCAGGUGAUGGUCGGAGGAAAAUUUUUCAACAAUAUUUGAUGUAGGACAUUUAGGUGAAAUUUAAUAAGAUAAUGAAUUUGAAUUCCAGAUGAAAAACUUUGGUAGAAUUAUAGAGAGCGAAGCUUUCGAUCUCUCAAAACUGGUGGAGGGGUUACGAAGAAGAACAAUUUUUUUUUUUUUUUUUUUUUUAAGGUCCGAUCGAUGGCCAUGUACGGAUGUACUGAUGCACCGAGUGCAGCUAAAGUUUUUCCUAAAUUUUGCACGGAAAAAUAGCCCAAAAGCAACCACAAUUUGGUCAACAAGGGCGGCCCUCCUUCUCAAAGAACACCUAAAAAUCAUGGAGUCAAAUUAGACCAUAAUUACUACUGGAACCCAAAAUUCAACACAACUCAAAAAUAUCAUAUGCACAUGCAUUACUCGCGACAAAGAAUAGCUUGAUUAUUAAAUUAUCGCUCAUCCACAAAAGCUACGUAAUUAAUCUUAGUGCUUUUAUAUCCGUGCUAAUUCUCAUUUGUUCAGUGCGAAGUACCAUAAAACUAACUCUGUUAAGAGCGAGAAAGAAAAAAAGAAAGAAAGAAAGAAAGAAAGAAGAAGCGAAAACAUUUAUUUAUUCCUAUUCUUCGUGAUCCCCUCUCUCUCUCCUCCAUGAUACAAGCUGGGAUAUGUCGGAAGAAGCAGCCACUAUUCCAACACUUAUUCUCCUCAUCUUAUCCUCAAUUCUCAUCACCGGUAUUGUUGUCGCUCCAUCUCUCUUUUUUCUAUCUACGAAUUUCGCCUGAAUGAAUAAUCUCUCACACUUAAUAAUUCCACCGAUAUGCAACAGGCCAUGUUAUAGAAGGGUUGAGCGACAAAGUAGUGAUCGCCCAGCUCAAGCAAUUCCUGCAAGAGCACAACCCGAUAAACCGCGGCGGGUACGCCGAGUGGGACGUGUCGGAGCCGACGCCGUGCAACUGGUCCGGCAUCAGCUGCGACGGGGCCACGAAACGCGUGGUCGGUGUCGACCUCUCGUCGUCCAACAUCUCCGGCCCCGUCUUCGGCAACUUCUCCCUCCUCACUGCGCUCGCGCGCCUCGACCUCUCCGCCAACACCAUCGACGGCACCCUCCCCGCCGACCUCAACAGCUGCCGCGGCCUCCGCUAUCUCAAUAUCUCGCACAACCUUAUUUCCGGCGUGUUGAACGUCUCCGGAUUGGCGAAUUUGGAGAUUCUGGACGUUAGUCUCAACCGGUUUGAAGGCCCGAUUGCCGUCAACUUUCCCGCGGGUUGCGCGAGUCUCUCUGUUCUGAAUGUUUCGACGAAUAAGUUCACCGGCGAGAUCGCCGGCGUGUUCGACGAGUGCGAGCAGCUCCGGUAUCUGGAUUUGAGCUCGAAUCAUUUUAGCGGUGAGAUAUGGCAAGGGUUCGAUUCGCUCCGCGAGUUCUCCGUCGCGGAGAACAACCUAACCGGAGAGAUACUCCCCGGCGCCUUCACGGCCAACUGCGCCCUCGAAACGCUGGACUUGUCGGACAACAGCAUCUCCGGCGCGUUCCCGAAUUCGAUCGCGAACUGCUCCAAACUGAAUUUCCUGAGCCUGUCGGAGAACGGCUUCGGCGGCGCGAUCCCCUCCGGCAUCGGGAAGCUCUCUGAGCUCGAAAGCCUAUUCCUGGGGAACAACCGGUUUGCCCGCGACGUCCCGGAGGAGCUCUUGAACUGCAGCAAGCUAGUCUUUCUCGAUCUGAACGGUAACAAUUUCGGCGGCGAGGUGCAGGUGAUCUUCGGGCGGUUCGUGACGGUGAAAUUCUUGGUCCUGCAUGGAAACAACUACACCGGCGGCAUCGAGAAAUCGGGAAUCUUAAAACUUCCGGAAGUCAGCAGACUGGACCUCAGCUUCAACAGCUUCUCCGGGCCAUUGCCGGCAUCGAUUGCCGAGAUGCGGAAGCUGAAAUUCUUGAUCCUAGCAUACAACAAUUUCACCGGCAGGAUCCCGGCGGAGUACGGUAACAUCGCGGGGCUGCAGGCGCUGGACCUGUCGUUCAACGAGCUGAGCGGGGAGAUUCCGCCGUCGAUCGGCAACCUGACGUCGCUCCUCUGGCUGAUGCUCGCCAACAACCAGCUGACCGGCGGCAUCCCGCCGGAAUUGGGGAAUUGCACCAGCCUGCUGUGGGUGAACCUCGCGGGGAACCGCCUGGCCGGCGUCAUCCCUCCGGAGAUCGCGAAGAUGGGCCGGGACCCGGAGCCGACGUUCGCGACGAACCGCGAGGAGACGGGAGUCGCCGCGGGGUCCGGGGAGUGCCUGACGAUGAAGCGGUGGCUGCCGGCGAAUUACCCGCCGUUCAGCUUCAUGUACGCGGUGAUGACGCGCAAGAGCUGCCGGACGACGUGGGACCGGCUGCUGAAGGGCUUCGGAAUCAUCCCGGUGUGCCUCAACACGUCGUCGCCGGUCUGGACGCUCGCGAUAUCCGGCUACCUGCAGCUAUCCGGCAACCUCCUCGCCGGCGGCGUGCCGCCGGAGAUCGGCGGGAUGCGGAAUCUCAGCCUGCUCCACCUCGACGACAACCGGCUGUCCGGCGGACUCCCGCGGGAGGUCGGGGGGAUCCCCCUCGUGUCGCUCAACGUGUCUAACAACCGCUUCUCCGGCGAGAUUCCGUCGGAGCUCGGCGGAAUCCGGUGCCUCGAGAUCUUGGAUUUGUCGCGGAACAACUUCUCCGGCGAAUUCCCGGCGAGCCUGAACGCGCUCGCGGGGCUCAGCAAGUUCAACGUCUCGUUCAACCCCCGCCUCUCCGGCGUCGUCUCGUUGACCGGCCAGAUGGCCACCUUCUACCUCAACUCCUUUCUCGGCGACCCCAACAUUUCCUUCUCCUCCCCCGCCGGAGGAUCGCCGGCGCAGCCGCCCCGAGGCGGCGGCGCCGCCGCCGCCAGCAGGAGGGCGGCGAGGAAGGUGGCGUUCUGCGUCUUCGUCGCCCUCACCUCCGCGAUUCUCACGUGCGGAAUCAUUUCGUUCGUCCUCUGCCUCGGAGUUCGGACCCCGGUGGGCCCCGGGCCGUAUCCCGAGGAGCACCUCGUCAAGCAGAGGAGCCAUAAGGCGUGGUCUCCGGCGUCCGUGUCGGCGGCGGGGUCAUCGUCGCGGCCGUCGGACGGGAUCCGGGUGUUCCGGCUGGACCGGACGGCGUUCACAUACAGCGACAUCGUGACGGCGACCGGGAACUUCUCCGCGGACCUCGUGAUCGGGAGGGGCGGAUACGGCGUGGUGUACCGCGGGGUGCUCCCCGACGGGAGGCACGUGGCGGUAAAGAAGCUGGAAAGGUGGGGCGACGACGGCGGCGGAGAAGGGGAAGGAGAGAGAGAGUUCCGGGCAGAGAUGGAGGUUUUAGCUGGCCGGACCGGGGCCGGUUGGCCCCACCCGAACCUGGUGCCGCUCUACGGGUGGUGCCUCUACGGCUCGGCGAAGCUGUUGGUCUACGAGUACAUGGAAGGCGGGUGUUUAGAAUCGGUGAUCGCCGACUGGGCCCUGUUCGGGUGGGAGCAUCGGCUAGAGACCGCCGUCGGUGUGGCGCGUGCUUUGGUGUUUCUGCACCACGAGUGCCGUCCGGCGGUGGUGCACCGGGACUUAAAGGCGAGUAAUGUGCUGUUGGAUAGCAGGGGCACGGCGAGGGUGACGGAUUUCGGGCUGGCACGGGUGGUGGGGCCCGGGGAGACGCACGUGAGCACGGUGGUGGCGGGGACGGUGGGGUAUGUGGCGCCUGAAUACGGGCACACGUGGCAGGCAACAACGAGGGGGGACGUGUACAGCUACGGGGUGCUGGCGAUGGAGCUGGCGACCGGGCGGAGGGCGGUGGACGGCGGGGAGGAGUGCUUGGUGGAGUGGGGCAGGCGGGUGGGGCGGGACGAGGCGGUGGCUGAGAUCGCGGAGGGAAGAGAGCAGAUGUGGGGUUUGCUAAGAGUCGGGUUGAAGUGCACGGCAGAAGCGCCGCACGCGCGACCGGAUAUGAGGGAGGUGCUCGCCAUGCUGCUCAGCAUCACUGGUGGCGGCAGCGGCAGCGGCAGCGGCAGCGACUGCAGCAGCAGCAGCAGCAGUAGCAGAAGCAGCAGUGAAUGCAGCAGUGUAUGUGAGCAUGUUUGAUUUUUAUUUUUAUUUUUACUACAUUGAGUUUUCUUCACAUCCAAUUCUCAUACCCAAUCAGUAUAUUCUUGAGUGUACAGAUUGCAGGCUGAUAAUUUGUGCUGUUCAUAGAUAGAUUAAGUUUGACCUCUUUUUUUUUAAUUUUAUUUUUGGAGUUAUACAAUACAUUAAAGCAUUGAUCAUUACAUGUAGUAAAAUGCUCUUUGAAAUUCAUAGCAUUGUUAAUGACAAUUUUGAAUUCUUUGAGAUCAGUGUGUAAUUUGGAUUGGGUUGCUUCCUCUUAAAAUGUAUCAUCCAACUACUUUGUCUCCAUGUAAUUCUUUUUUUUUUUUUCUUUUUCUUUUUUUUUUUUUUGGUCUUGCCAUUAGCUGGAUUUGAUAUAGUUAUGAUUUGGUUUAAAAAUAAGUUUGUUGAGAAUAGAAAUAUUAGUUUUGUCAUCUAUUAUCGGUAAAUAGAUAUAGUCUGAAAUCUUUGAGAGCAAACUUCUUUUGAAAUAGUCUAUGAAUAUUUCAAAAUCUAGUUUAUGACUAGAUGCUGAUUGUUUCCGACAUUUUGCUAAUUGAUAAUAAAAUUAAUAGCUCUCACUAAAUUUAAUUUUUAACCAAAUUAAAAUUACGCCAAGCCAAAUUACAAGGAAAAUAAAAAUUUGUGUAAUUUGUAUUUGCCUACAUUCCAUUACGUACAAGAAAGUACUUGAAGCCUGUCAAAAUAUUACUUAUUGUGGAGAUGUUGGUAAUUUUAUAUGGCGCUCUAAAAUAUGUGUAUAAACUAAUUAAAUUUUUAUAUAUUAAAAAGAUGUCCGAAAUAUCCGAUAUUCCAUAUCCAAUCCGGACCCUAUCCGGACCCGAACCGGAUCCGAACCGGACCCGAUAAAAAAUGAAUAGUAUACGGAUAAAAAAAAUUACCCAUUAAAGUUUCGGGUAUGGGUCCGAAUAUUUUAUACCCAUACCCGAUUUAGACCCGACCCGAACCUAACUUUUAAAUGGAUAGGGUCUGGAAUAGUUUUCAAAUCCGGAUCCGGACCCGGACCCGAUGAAAUAUCCGAUAGUAAAUAAAAAAAAAUAAACUUUUGAAGUUGAAGGAUCAAUUUUAAUAUGACUUAUAGAUGAUGAGUCACUACGUAUUUUCAUCCUAAUGAAACCCUAGCCGUCUCUUUUACUCAUUACUUUUUUCUAAUUUUUUUACUCUUUGUUUUCUACUUCUUUUUUUUCAUUUCAUUUCCGCCAAUAAUAUUUGAUUGUCAUCAUCACUAUCAGUAUCAUCAUCAUCAUCAGCGAUAAUAUUUCUUUUGAAUAAAUUUUAUUGGACGGUACAACUUAUUAGAAUGCGAGUUUUUUUUAUGGUAGGCUUUAUAGUUUGUCUAUUGACUAUUUAAUAAAGUUUAUAAAAAAAUAUAUGUUUAUACGAAUAUCCGUACCCGAUUUAAACCCGAUUCAUAUCCGGUCUUGAACGGGUAAUAUACGGGUAGUCACUACCCAGACCCGCUCAAAUAGACCCGAUGGGUAUAUUAGUAACUUUAGUACCCAGAUCCGGACCCGACCCGAAGUUAAAUGGGUAGGGUAUAUAUAUUUUUUUAUAACCAUUUCUUUUUAGGGUAUGGGUACAGUAUAUUAAUUAUCCAGAUCCGACCCGGUCCACGGACAUCUUUAAUAUUAUAAUAUCAACGCAUUAAUAAUAUAAAAAAAUAAUAUUAUGAAAGACAUGUAGUGGUGCCCAUUUUGAGUACUACUAAUACAUUUUGCCUCUUUAGCUGAACUAAUCAUUGUCAUCAAUUAAGCUUUUGAUUUUGUAAAUUUCCAUCUUUUUUUAAGAAUAUAAUUAUAGAUAUUCUUGGUUUUUGGUUCCCUGCAAAUUCUUCUGCCACUCUCUUUUGUGGACUAUUUGUUGUUGGAUGUUAAUUUACAGAGCUUAAAGUGCAGCUUAAUCUAUUUAUAAUCCUCCACUCCUUGUAUAUACUCAAACGCAAAUUUUUCCCUCUAUGAACACAAUCCUUUUAGUGUGUAAGUUUUGGAACUUCCAUUAUUCUAACUAUUUUUUUUAAGAGGAAUGGUUUAAUAUACCGGCUAAAUUAAAUCUAGCUGUUCAUAUUUUAAGGAUAAGAUAUUGACUUUUAGACAGUAAUAACUUACUCAAUAGGUCACCAUUCAAGUUCAAUAGUAAGGAUAAUAUUAGAAAAUAAAUAAUAGCGAAUUACCAAAUUUGAUAAACCCUAAUAAAUAAAUAUUCAUUUCCUUAUUUAAUUUUGUUACUUACCAAAUUAGAUAGUGGCUAAUUCGAUAAGUAAUAAACCUUUAUAAAAUUGAAUUUAAAAUUUAAUUUGAGCUUAAACUUUAUAAUUGUAUACAUUAAAUUCAAAUUUAAUUUCAAUUAUAAUUUUCAUAAAGAAAAAAAUUAUGUUUAAAUGAGUAGUACAUUUCAAUUCAAAUUGUUAAUGUAAUAUUAAAAUAACAUGAAAGUUCAAAUAUAUUAACUUAUUUUAAAUUGUAAAUUAUGUUGUACUUAUAAACCCAACUUUUAUUAUUUAUUUAAAUAAAAGGCUUCUAUUUUUAAAAUUAAAUUCAAAUUGUUUAUCCAAUAGUGAAAACAACAUUACAGUUCAAAAAUAUUGAUUAAAAUUAAAAUUAAAAUUUAGAUUUAAUUUAUCUUAUUGUUAAAAAAAUAAAUUUUGUUAACUAUUUAAACUAAAUGUUUCAAUAUUUGAAAAUUAACUUUAUAUUAUAAAUCUGAAUUUAAUUUUAGCUAUUAUAAUUUCAAAUUAUCUUUAAAAUGGUUUUUAACUUGUUUAAAUAAUACAUUAAAUUGAUUUGAUUUGGAUCAUUUGACUUGGAUCAUAAGUUCAAUUAAAUGGUUUUUCCAGAGUCUAAAAAAUCACUUUGUGCUCAUGCAAAGUUUAGCGCAUUUUUGACUUUGCAACCACAUUAUUCUUUAAAACAUUUAUUUUACCACCUAUUUUGACAUAAGAUUUUUUGAUAAAAUAACAAUUAAAUUAAUCAGGUUAAUAUUACACUGGUUGAGCUAUCCAAUCAAAUAAUCAUAACUCGAACAGUCAACUUCGGAUCGACUAUCCAUGUUCAAAAGUUAAAAUAUCAAUAUAUUACAUUCUUUCUAAUUGAAUUUUAGUUUUGACCAUCCAAUUUCAAUUUAUUAAGAGUUUUGUCUCGAAUUUUGACCACAUCAACUUCAACUCAUCUUUCAGCCAUCUAAAUUGAAGCUAGCGUGAAGCUCGAUGCAAUAAUCUAAAAAAUUUGAAUAAAGUUGGACAACCAAAGAAUUACGUUUCUUAUAAUUUGAGAAUAAAGUGUGUAAUUUAUGCUGGAACUUGCGAAUAUUAUAAAAAUUUAAUUUAUUUUAAUUAAGAUAUUGAACUGAAUUUAUUAGAACUAUUGAUCACAAAGUCAAAUACAAAAUUUUUUAAGCAUUCACUUGGGGGUAAUAUUUCAUAUUCAAUUACUAUGAGAUUGCAUAAUAUAACUUGUCCGUUGCAAUAUUUUAUAUUUGCACAUAAUUUUUGAUGCAAAAAAAUUUAAAAUUUGCGACAAAUUUAAAAUUUUAUUUCAUAAUCAAAUCAUACAAAUAAAUUUAAUUACAAAUUAUAAAUAUAGAUUAGNAGCUAUUACUUCAAAAAGGAAAGCAAAAUGGACAAAAAUGGAAUGGAAUGUUCUAUAUUUACUAAGGAGCCGGCAUUAUGGGAAUAGAAUAAAAAUUUACCAAAAAGUUUUUGAUACUAACUUUACAUAAUAAAAAAAUAUUUUGCCCUCGGUAAGAGUGUGACUGGUAACUAAUACAAUCAAAAUCAAUCACCCUCUUAAAUAAAAAGCAUCCUCACCAUCUAUUUUAAAAAAUUUAAGGACUGAAAUUUGUUGAUGUAUAGAAGCGUUGCUCUUUUUUUAAUAAUUAACAACCACUAGCUUUAGCCCAGUUGCUGUAUUAGUUUGAAAAUUUAAUCACCAUCUGUUUUUUUAAAAAAAUAUAUAUUUAGAGAGACCGGAAAAAAAAAAAAAAUCGGUCAAUAACUUCAAAAUUAAAAAGAAAAAGAAAAACUUUCACGUGACCCUCGUGAGGUGUGGGAUAAUUCCAUGUAAGUGCGUAGUCAACAUUUAUAUUUGACUUCGGAGCUCGGUCUUAUCCAAUCCACUCAGGGCAAUGGACGGUUCGGAUUGAUCUGCGAGUGGAGCAGCAGCUCGAAGAUCAGCCGUCCAAUUCUCUUGGCUUCGAAGAUUCCACAUCGUCACCGAAAAUGCACCAGUGGCCACAAAUUCCAAUCGUCGUGGUAACCUCACUACCAAGACACGUGUCGUGUCCCUAUUGGUCCACCUCAUAAAGCCACAAAAGUGAACAUAUUCCCUUGCUAAAGCUUAUGGCGGAGCUUCAAUGAAGCCCCAGCUCUUUAAAUUUCUCCUCUCCAUUUCUCUUCUCCAUCACCACCCCCCCCAAAAAAAGGAAAAAGAAAAAAAAAGAAAGAGAGAGAGAGAGAGAGAGAGAGCUUAGUGAGCUUAGUGGGUAUGGAGGCCUCUUGUUUCUUAACUUCAAAAUCGUUCAACAAAACCCUAGAUUUGGUUCCCUCUUUGAAGCCUAAGUUUGUGUUCCUGCACAAGAAGAGGCCCAAUCAAGGGUUUUAUUACGGAUCUGGUGGAGGAGCUUCUCAUUCAUUUACUUGUGAGUGCCCAAAAACUCUCGCUAAGGUUUUUUUUUUUUUUUUUAAAGAUGAAGGAUGGAUUCUUGUUGAAUUCCAAUGUUUUCGGAUAUUUCGAAUUGUUAAAUUUUGUUGAUGAAUUGUUAAUUUUGAUAUCUCGAUAUUCUCAUUGCCGAGGAAAAGUUUAUAUUGAUUCUAAAGUAGAUGCAGCAUAGAGGGGCCAAAAAAAAAAAGGGAAAAAAAAAGAAAAAAAAAAAAGAAGAUGCAUUGCACCUAGAGGCGGCUUGCGGAGCAUGUUAAACUUUAUAAGAAAUUAAAUUCAUACAUUCUGCAAUAAUUUUAAUUUUUAUAUUCGGAUUGUAAACGGCGACUUUUGCUUAUAGUUCAUUCUCGUUCACGAUAUGCAAACAAAACAAGUGGAACGUUUCGAGUCCAUUCUCCUCGAAGAUGGAUCCAUUGUAGAAAAUUAGAAUUAGGAUUAAACCACAACUCCCACGUGUUAUUUAUUUAUGUAUAGCUUAAAUGUAAAGUUAUUAAAUUACGCUUGUCCAUCAAGAACAUUCUCAAAUGCAUUAUAACUGUUGGAUCUACUGUAUCUUUAUAGAUAGUUUAAAAUAGAUUGACUCUAUCUUUAUAGAUGGUCUUAAAUAAAUCAUAUGGGCCAUAUCCAACAGACCACAGUACUCGUGAGUUGGAAUUAUAACAACCUAGUGCAGUAAGAUAAAUAAUUUAUCACUUAAAUUUAAUUAUUAUUACUAAAGUAUUUAGUACUUAUGUAAUCUACGCCUACUUUUCUGUAUUAGUCUUUGUAAGUCUAUUGGUCGUGUUGCACGAAUUCUAGUAGGCUUUUGGUGGAAGAAAAUUUUUGUAUGGAGGCUGAAAAUGUUAGGCUUAAUAGUGGGCUGGUAACCUCAGAAGCCGAGCUAUACAAUUCCGACCAAAACCUGAAAGCACUUUUCAAUUGCAGCCGAUUUGUCUUUGAACUCUUAGGCUACGUUUGGGAUUGCGGAGAGAUUGCGUUACGUGCGGUAAGAAACGACGAUAAAAAUAUAUCCUUGUUUGUUUUCGUACGUAAUGUAUAUAUUUUCUGCGGUCCUAUCGGAGAACGCAUAAGCAUAUCCUUAUAUGCUUUUUCUCAACUCCAUUCUAUCUAAUAGCGUUAGAUCCGCCUCAAUACCAAACUAAGCCUUGUACAGCACAAAUUUGGACCACCGGGCCUAAGAUGACAAAGCUGUUUUAUUUUUUUUCGUAAUGUUUUAAGAAAUUCAGUUUACAUAGAGACAAACCCAAAGAUGCAUAUCUAUUUAGACACAUCAACUAAAAAGCCUAUAUUUUUCGUCCAGAGUGACCAUAUAGUUCACUUUAAAAUUCUCCUGAACAUUUACCUUUUUUAAAAAAAAAAAUCUAAGUUUUCUGUAUACCCUUACCUUGAAAUAUUACUCCUCAACAAUCAAGUACUUUAGAAUGUGGGAAAAUCUCAUGGACUAGGGCCUAGUUUGGUGAGGCUCGUGACCAGAAUCACCAUUUUUUAUAUAUAAUAGGUUCAAAAAAUUUAAAAAUACGCUUAGGAUUACGAUUUUUUCUACUCCGAAAAUUUACAAUCAUCUAUUAAACUAUAUCACAUCCACCGAUCGAAACCCCUAAAAAGGAAAUGGAUUAGGCUCCCCCUGAAGCCACAGUAAAGCCCAAAGCCCUAAUAACGUAAAUAUGCAUUAGUAUCUAAUUUUUAAAUUUAUUUCAUUUAAUAAGACUUUGGAUGCACAUUUUAAACUAAUUACUUACUUUAACAAAAUUUAUAGCUAUAAAAAGUAUAUAAAAUAUAAUUAAUUAAAUUUAUAAAAAUAAAUAAUAUAUUCAAAAAUUAAAACUAAAAAUCUUUUAAUUGACUUAAAACUCAAAUAAACGAAAAAAAUGAUAUAACAAAAAUCAAACUGUUACACCACCUAAUAUUUGGAUUUUGAUGCGUUGGUAGGGGUGCGCCAGGCCCGAGCAGUAGUGCAAUGCAAGGGCGACGCGCGAGGGCCCCAGUAGCAAGCUACUGUGGGUGGGCCCUCCCCCACAUAAAAAUUAAUUUAAUAUCGAGGUGGGCACAUGGCCCACGUAUCAGAUAUUAAACUGAUAAGAACAGAUACUACACUUGAUCUUAGCCAAAAGGCCGAGAAAGGUA